GUAUUGCCUUGAUCUAACAGAAUGCCAUAAACUUGCUCAACUUCCAGACUCUAUAGGCUCCCUGGUGUCUCUACAGCGGUUGUUAUUGUCGGGAUGCCACUCGUUGAGACAAAUCUCAGACUCGAUUGGAAAGUUGACAUCAUUGAUUGAGAUGCAUUUGAAAUCUACGGCCAUUGAAGAAUUACUUGAAUCCAUUGGUUCUUUGAAGGAGCUCGAGACUCUAGAUGUCUCUUAUUGCAAAUCGUUAGCCCGCAUACCCAACUCAAUAGGCAAUUCAACAUCUCUGUCUCAUUUUGACCUAACAGGAUGCCAUAAACUGGUUCAACUUCCAGACUCUAUAAGCUCAUUCGUGUCUCUACAACAGUUGUUACUGUCGGGAUGCCACUCAUUGAGACAAAUCCCAUACUCGAUCGGAAAGUUGAUAUCAUUGACUGAGCUGCAUUUGAAAUCUACGGCCAUUGAAGAAUUACCUGAAUCCAUUGGUUCUUUGAAAGAGCUCAAGACUCUAGAUGCCUCUUUUUGUGCAUCGUUAAUCCGCAUACCCAACUCAAUAGGCAAUUCAACAUCUCUAUGUUGCCUGUCCUAAGCAAUUGUCGAAAGCUUGCUCAACUUCCAAACUCCAUAAGCUCCCUCGUGUCUCUAUCGCAAUUGCUGUGUCGGGAUGCCACUCGUUGAGACAAAUCCCAAGCUCGAUCGGAAAGUUGACAUCAUUGAUUGAGCUGCAUUUGAAAUCUACGGCCAUUGAAGAGUUGCCUGAAUCCAUUGGUUCUUUGAACAAGCUCAAGACUCUAGAUGUCUCUUAUUGCAAAUCGUUAGCCCACAUACCCAACUCAAUAGGCAAUUCAACAUCUCUGUCUCGCCUAGACCUAACAGAAUGCCAUAAACUUGCUCAACUUCCAGACUCUAUAGGCUCCUUUGUGUCUCUACAGCGGUUGUUAUUGUCGGGAUGCCACUCGUUGAGACAAAUCCCAGACUCAAUCGGAAAGUUGACAUCAUUGAUUGAGAUGCAUUUGAAAUCUACGGCCAUUGAAGAAUUACCUGAAUCCAUUGGUUCUUUGAAGGAGCUCAAGACUUUAGAUGCCUCUUAUUGUGCAUCGUUAGCCCGCAUACCCAACUCAAUAGGCAAUUCAACAUCUCUGUCUUGCCUUGACUUAACAGAAUGCCAUAAACUUGCUCAACUUCCAGACUCUAUAAGCUCCCUCGUGUCUCUACAGCGGUUGUUAUUGUCGGGAUGCCACUCGUUGAGACAAAUCCCAGACUCGAUCAGAAAGUUGACAUCAUUGAUUGAGCUGCAUUUGAAAUUUAAGGACAUUGAAAGAUUACCUAAAUCCAUUAGUUUUUUUAAGGAGCUCAGGAUUCUAGAUGGCUCUAUCAUGCAUCGUUAGCCUAUAGAUCUAUUUCAAUAAGCAAUUCAAGACCUCAUUCCCCAACUCAAUAGGCAAUUUAACAUCUCUGUCUCGGCUUGACCUAUGCUACUGUUAUAAACUUGUUCAACUUCCAGACUCUAUAGGCUCCCUCGUGUCUCUACAACAAUUGUUUUUGUCGAGAUGCUUCUCGUUGAAACAAAUCCCACACUCGAUUGGAAAGUUGACAUCAUUGAUUGAGUUGCAUUUGGAAUUUUCGGCCAUUGAAAAAUUACCUGAAUCCAUUGGUUCUUUGAAUGAGCUCAAGACUCUACAUGUCUUUUACUGCCAAUCGUUAGGUCGCAUACCUAGCUCAAUAGGCAAUUUCACAUCUAUGUCUUCCCUUAACCUAGAUGAAUGCCAUAAACUUGUUCAACUUCCAGACUCUAUAGGCUCAAUUGUGUCUCUACAACAGUUGUUAUUAUCGGGAUGCCACUCGUUGAGACAAAUCCCAGACUCGAUCGGAAAGUUGACGUCAUUGAUUGAGCUGCAUUUGAAAUCUACGGCCAUUGAAGAAUUACCUAAAUCCAUUGGUUCUUUAAAGGAGCUCAAGACUCUAGAUGUCUCUUAUUGCAAAUCGUUAGCCCGCAUACCCAACUCAAUAGGCAAUUCAACAUCUCUGUCUCACUUUGACCUAACAGAAUGCCAUAAACUUGCUCAACUUCCAGACUCUAUAGGCUCCCUGGUGUCUCUACAGCGGUUGUUAUUGUCGGGAUGCCACUCGUUGAGACAAAUCCCAGACUCGAUUGGAAAAUUGACAUCAUUGACUGAGCUGCAUUUAAAAUCUACGGCCAUUGAAGAAUUACCUAAAAGCAUUGGGAAUAUGCAAAACUUAAGGAUAUUGGACAUUAGUGGAACUCCCAUAAUAGAAUUGCUUGAUGACCCGGGAAUAUUGGCAGAACUCCAAGAGUUUAGAGCUUCGAGAUGGAAAAAUUCUGAAGGGUCACCUAGUAAUAAUGGCCAAUUGGUUUCACCUAACAAUCUUGGUUUAGACAAGCUUCAAAAACUAUCAGAAUUACGCUCUCGCGUACUAGCGCUAGGUAUAACCUACCAGAUCCCGCAAUCACUGAAUCUAUCCCAACUAAACUUUCUCAAGAAACUUACUCUUUCUAAUUGGCUUGAAUUUCUCCUACACCUUUCUAUAAAACGUUGUAGAAAAGCUGUGAAUCUUGAUUUUGUAUUUUCAAAAGUUCAACCUAUUAGUUGGGCAUUCUAUUUACUUUUUGUCUUGUGAUACAGUUCUCUUAAAGCGUCCUAAGACACCUGCAGCCAACAAUUCAGCCAUGGACUACCAAACAGCAGAUUCUAAACACGUUUUGAAGAGAUCAAGACCUUUUGGAAUCUUGGAUGAAGUACUUGUUUCAUCUUGCUUUUUCUUUAUCAUUCUUUAUUACUUAUAGGAUGGUUCUAUCUAUAAAGAGAAGUAUCUUAUUGGGUGAUCGAUUUUUUAUUAUGUAUGGGACGUUUUUCUCAACAUUCGUAACUAGAUUUGUCAGACUUGUUACAUUUACUUCUUGCUAUUUUAAGUUUUCUCUUCAUGGAAGUAGGGAUUUUCAAUUUUCCUGAAUUAUAAACUUAAGUUGGAAUAUAUUGCCCAUUAUUAUGCGAUUCUCUUUCUUAAUUAUCUUUCUUUGCAUGCCAUUGAAUGAAACCUUUUGAAAGCACUCACCCUUUAAGCUAGCUUUUGGGGUGAGAUAAGCCCAAGACCAUCCAACAAUGAUAAACUUUUAGUUUUGACGUUUCCAGAUACCCUUAACUUUCAUGAUGCACUUAAAGAAAUAAUUGAGGAUUUGAAGGAUUACAAGAAAGUCUGAUGGAGAGAAAAAGGAGCAAAAGGGCUAAGGUUGUCAAUUUAUGUUUGCUUGUCUUAAUUGUGUUUGUUAACUAUGUAAUUCAUCAUGACUUCUAUUAGACAUGUCAAACCAUUGAAUUAGACGAGAGCAUGUAAAUAUCUCUCAACCAACUGGUUAAACGUAUGGUGAGGUGUCAUAUUUUGGUUGUGUCUAUGUUUUUGUGUUUGGUAUUGUCAUGUAAACAAUCGGUGUCAAUAUUGGUAGCAUUAAGGAGGAGUGUGGACUAGGAAGGUGUUGAUUGCAUCUUCUCCCAUUACGCAGGCAUUGUUCUCGCGUAUGCUAGUAAAAUAGUGGCUCUCAUACGAGUUUUGCAUCUUUUGAGUGCCAUGGUUUUUAUCAAUUUUCUAAAGGACUAACUAGUUUUGUAAUCUUUAUGAUGUCCUAUUAGGUGAAUAAUUUGUCGGUAAACAUUCUGCCGAUCUCAUACAACUGCCCAAGCCUCAGUCAGAGUUCUUAUUCUUCAAAUGACUUGCCCAGAAAUGUAGUCAUUACCCUAAGUCAAGGUUCACUUGUUAAGAGUAUGGAUUUCCAUCCAGUGCAACAAAUUCUGCUGCUCGGUUAGCACUUCUUUCAUACUCUAUGAAGAACAUGUUCCAUGCUUUUCUUCAGUUGGAUAUACUUGUUCCUAUUGGAGGCCAUAAGUUUGUGCUUUGGUUCUUGGAAGAUUGCUUUUUGAUGUUCUUUUGACACUAGCUUCAGCUAUUUUAAACCACGGGCUAUGAUUCUUCAAAUUUUAUGCUUCAAUAAUUUUCAGUGGGAACAGAUAUGGGCAAUGUUAUGGUUUUUGAAGUAGGCAGCGGUGCGAGGAUUGCUUCGAGAAAAUUCAAGGUUUGGGAUUUGGGAACACGUUCAAUGGCGUUGCAGGUAUGGAAGUUGAAUUCUAAAUGAAAUCAUGGCAUCUUGUUUUUGGACAUGUGAUUAUGAAUUUUAAUUCUUUGUAGGCUUCUCUGGCCAAUGACUAUACAGCAUCCAUUAACCGUGUAAUGUGGAGUCCUGAUGGAAUCCUUUUUGGUAUGUACAGAUGUCACUUCUACUUGUAUAUCAACUUAAGAAAUUGGGCAAUACAUACUUGCAAAUUGAUGAAAAAACUAAAGCUCCAAGAACCAGACUUCAUUGCAAUAUUUUUGAGGAAGAAGUGUCCAUAUGUUGCUUUUACUAAUGAUUUAUGGGUUUCACUUUAGGUGUUGCUUAUUCCAAGCACAUGGUGCACAUAUAUUCAUAUCAUGGUGGUGAUGACAUAAGGAACCACCUAGAGGUUUGUUGCUAAACAAGGAGAAAAAAAUUAAGCUUCUCUGUUCUGCUGACAAUUGCCACCUACAUGUGAAUUCAACUUGAUUUUGACUCUAGCUAAUGUCUGAUACAGCUCGAGGCUCAUGUGGAAGUGUUAAUGAUCUGCUUUUCAUAUCCAAACAAACAGUUAUGUGUUGUGACCUGUGGAGAGGACAGGUUGAUCAAGGUAUAUUUUGAUUGUUUUCCUCAGCAUUAUGAUGUUUUGUUGUUUGAUCCCUUUUAACCAAGCUAGUAGUUACGUAGGUAUGGGAUGCAGUGACUGGGGCUAAACAACAGACUUUCGAGGGUCACGAAGCACCUGUAUAUUCCAUUUGUCCACACAAUAGAGAAAAUAUUCAGGUACCUGCUUAUUUCGUGUACUAACAAGGACACGCUGCAAGCAUGGCCAAUUGGCUGUACGCUUGACCAUUCAAUGGACUUUCUUUGCUAAAACUCAGUUAGGUCAAAAAAUUUGAUUCAAUUUGUAUGAGAAGUGUGAAUAUGUGUUCUAACGGACCUUGUUCAUUUCAAAGAUUUUGCAAGUCUUCCGAAUUUUGACCUAUCUUGAUUAGAAUGUGCUUGUUAAACAUGGUGACAUGGUCCAAAGAUUAAAUUGUGAAUUUGAUUAUUUCAGGCGAUGCUACUGAGCAUGGACAACUGGGUAAAGGUUUUCGCAAUAAUGACUUCCUUGUUAACAUAAGUUUAGAUGGAAAAUUGCUUUGCUUCCAUUAUUUGUUCUCCCUUAGUUUCUCCUCUAGUUUUGAUUAGUUAAAUUAAUAAUAGAUUGAUGUUUAUUGUGCCUGGGUGGAGCAGCAAUUGGCGAUGGCUUUUUAAUUUUUUUUUUUAAAUUUAUGAUUGUGUACACUUUAUUAUAAAGAUAUUUAAUGAUAUCUAUUAGGGUUUUAGGUGGAUGUGCUCUAUCUGGACAUGUUAUUGAAAUUGAUUGUAGGAUUGUUUUAUUGUGUAGCUCAUCUUCUCAAUAGCAAUAGAUGGGAAAAUUAAGGCUUGGUUUUAUGACAACAUGGGGUCAAGAGUUGACUGGGAUGCACCAGGUCACUCUUUUACCAAGAUGGCAUGCAGUGUCAAUGGAAAAAGGUUCAGACCAUCAGCAUUGCAUUUCAAGCUUGAUUUUAUCCCGUGUCAUUCUUUAUGACUGAAAUAACCUAUUUUAACAAUUUUAUUUGGCUAUAGGUUGUUCUCAUGUGGAACCAAUAAAGAAGGAGAGUCAUACUUGGUUGAAUGGAAUGAAAGUGAGGGGGCUAUCAAACGUACUUAUCAUGGACUUGGAAAGAGAUCUGAUGGGUUUGUGCAAUUUGAUAUCGCUAAAAACAGAUUUUUGGUUGCUGGAGACGAGUCCAUGGUCAAAUUUUGGGAUAUGGACAAUAACAAUAUUUUGACAAGUAUUGAUGCUGACGGUGGAUUGUCGGUAAUUCAUUAUUGUUAAUUUAAUCCAAGUGAAUAAGCUGAACCUUUCCAUUAAACUCGCUCUUUAAAUUUGCAGGCUUCACCUUGCAUUAGAUUUAACAAGGAGGGAAUUCUAUUAGCAGUCUCAACAAAUGACAAUAGUAUCAAAAUUUUAGCAAAUGUUGAUGGGAUUAGGCUGCUAAGGACAAUGGACAGUUGGCCUUUUGAUGCUCCUAGAAUCACUCUGGGACCUCUUAUGAAGGUAAGCUUUUUCAAGCUCACACUAGCUUCAUUGAGAAGAGCUCGCUAAAUGUCGUCAAUCUUGUACUGCCACCAAUGAUUGUGAUAUUUAGUUCUGGUAAUGCUACUAUUGGGGCAAACCUAGGUAAUAGAGGGGUUCCGGUGGCAAAAUUAAAAUGUUUGAUCCAAUUUCCAGUGCAUUUGAUAGAGAAGUCUAGAAAAAUCCAAAAAAUAAAAUAAAAUCUCACAGGAUUAUCUAAAGUUUUGUGUGGAAAAAUCCGUAAAAAUUAUCUAUGUAGUGUGGCGGAGACACUUGCCUUAUAAAUAUCUCUGACUCAAGCAAAUAUUUUUGCAUGUCUUAGCCGCUGAUGCAAUCUUAUGAAAAGGCUUUGGGUCGUCCAAAAGCAAACACAUUUGGGUCUCUAUUUUUAAAAUUUUUUAUUCUCAAAAACUGAUUUGAAAUGAAAAUUCAUUUGAUAAUGUAAUCUUUUUUGAACAAUUUUUUAGUUAAUAAAUAAUUUUGAAAAUAUAUAAGAAUAAUUUUUUUACAUUUCAAAAACAAAAACAAAAAUAAAAUUUUUUCUCAUUACUUGCUUUCGUCAUACGCGACCACCGUCACUCGUCAACCACUCGCCUACUCGUCGCUCUCCACCAAUUGAUAGUCACCGCCUAGAAAUUAUCUUUGCUCAAUUUCUCGUUCAUGGAUUAAAAAUAGAAAAAUUUAUUUGUGAUUAGAAAUUAUUCACAUGAAUUAAAAUAGUUAUCGUUCGUGCCCAUAAUACACCAACUAAAAUAAACCUCUCUACCUUCGUUUGUAUUAUGCAUAGUAUAAUAAAAGCCUUCCUUAUAUAUAUAUAUAUAUAUAUAUAUAUAUAUAUAUAUAUAUUCUUGUGUUCCCUUGCUGCCGCUUUCCGAAAUCCUUGUCCUAUUGUAUUACAUCAGCAGCAACUGUGACUUGCGGAGCAUUUUUUCCUCACGUCCAUCCAGUCAUAUUUUAACACAUCUCUGUGGAUUUUGAAUUAAAAAUAAAAUUCCCUGAUGAUCCAUCGGCCAUGGACCUCGGACUAGCCGGCUGCCACCCUUGAACACCACCGCUCCGGAGGCCGAGCUCCAAAUCUAGCCGAGUCGUGGCCUCCGCGCCGCACCAGAUCUAGUCCACCUUCACUUGCUUCAAGCUCGUCCAUGGCCGCCUCCGAAUCCGGUCGAGCUCGACUCUACGCCAGAUAUCGUCUGCCUUAAAAACGGUUCGAGCUCGGCGGCUCCUCCAUGACCGCCGAGAAGCCGCCGAGAUUUCGGUCACAACGUCGAGCUUCGCAGCCAUAGAAGGCCAUCACCUCCAGAUGUAGAGGCUCAAUGGCAAUGGAGGCCGAGCGUCCAGAUCUGGCCGUGGCGAAGGUCGUGACAUCACCUCGAGCUGCAGCAAUGACCGCCGUUAGAGGUCGCCUUAAGAGACGGCGUUAAAAGUUGCAGACGGCCAUGGACAGAGCGUGUAACAAGAAAGGAGACAAAAAAAAAAAUAGAAAAGAAAAGAAGCAAAGAAUGGUGGGGAACAAUAAGAAAAAGAAACAUCUUUUCCAACUUUUCAACAGCAUCAUCGGCAUGAGCCACGCCGACGACCAUGGACGGCCAGAUCUCGAGAGCCAACGGUGUCGCUGGCCAUGGCGGAGCAAGGUUCGUGUGUGAUGCCGACGGCCAUGGACGGCCAAAUUUGGAGAGCCAGCGGCGUCACUCGUCUAGGUGACGCCCAUGGCCAUGGUCGGCCAGAUCUGAAGAGCCAGCAGCGUCACCGACGCAUCAUCGGCCGUGGCAGCUCGUCCGAGGUCAAGUGGCUGGCUUUGGACGAACGAGGAAGAUGAAGCUAGAGGAAACAGUUCCACCACUCAAAGAAACUCCACAUCAAUAUUUUUUAAUUUAAUUCAAGACACGUAAUAAACUUUUUUAAGUGGAUAUCAAGGAAAAAAUGCUCGCCCCAUCAGCUGACGCGGGGCUGUGAAAUCACUUAAUAUUUUCCCCUUUCCUCACACAUCUACACACAUGGCACAUAAACUAGAAAACCAUCGGGCAGCAAUGGUAGGGAUGGUAAGUGGUAUCAUUACUGCAUUAGGUCGUUAAAUUUUUAUAAGGAGCUUUAUUUGUUGCUUAUUUUAUACUUAAAUGAUGCAAUAAUUGCAUUUGUAUGUGCAUAUUAUUGGACGUCUUUCAAUGACAACCUCUCUUUUGAGCUCUACAGAAGCCCAGAAUUGCCGAUGACUCGACAGACAAAUCACGAAAUUGGAAACUGACAGAAAUCAACGAACCAUCACAAUGCCGGUCCAUAAGGCUGCCUGAUAACUCUACAGCUACGAGGGUACAAAUGACUGCCAAAAUAGGAUUUUUCUCAUGUAAAUUUUUAAGUGGAUGUCAAGGGAAAAAUCUCGCCACAUUAGCAGUUAACACGGCGCUUUGAAACUGCCAAAUAUUUUCUCCUUUGCUUCUCGCACAUCUACACGCACUAGCAUAUAAACUAGAAAACCAUCAGGCAGCAAUGGUAGGUAUGGGAAGUGGUAUCAUUACUGCAUUAGGUAGUUAAAUGUUUUUAACCAGCUUUAUUUGUUGCUGACGCUGUUAGUUAAAUGAUGCGAUAAUUGCAUUUGUAUGUGCAUGUUUAUUGGGCGUCUUUCAAUGACAUCCUCUCAUGUGAGCUCUACAGGACAGUGAGAACAUGGCCGAUGUGAAGCUCGGAAUUGCUGAUGACUCAGGAGACAAAUUGCGAAAUUGGAAACCGACAGAAAUCAAUGAACCAUCACAAUGCCGGUCCAUAAGGCUGCCUGAUAACUCUACGGCUGCAAGGGUACAAAUGAUUGCCACAUUAGGACGUUCUUAUGCAGCAUUUCUUUUCCACAUUAAUCUCUCACGUUUCUACUAGAUAAGAACAAAUUUGAAUAGGGGUUGCAUUUAAUGCACUUGCUUUACUAGCUUUAUUCACAUGUGGUCCAAUGAUUUAUCUCUUAAACCUCGGCACUCAAAUGCAAUUAUUGCAUCAUCAUUUGGCAUUUUAUAGUUGACUGAUUGUUUCAACUACACAAAUAGGAAAGGAUAAGAUCAACAUUAAUAAAUCUAUGAUGAUGGCGUGGCAAUUGUGCUUGAGUUAUGUUGGCUGUGGAGGUCAUGAAUUUUAUAAUAACGUUGAAUAGCAAGAUGGAUGAUUCCUGAUUUAGAAUGUAAUGGUAUAUUUGCAUAACGAGACUUUUUUAGCCUUUGCUUGGAAUAUGGAUUGUUCUGUGGACUUUCAUGCAGUUACAUCUGGUAAAAGACAGAUUAUUUACGGGAUGAAUUUGGCUUUAUACAUGGCAUGCAAAGUAUAUCAUUUUGCACCACUUUGAUGCUUGUGGGGAAUGCUAAGCUCGUGAAAGCUAUUUUGACCUUGUCAAUUCCCAGAAACUGUAAGUGGAAAUUUACCUGCUGAAUGUAAAUAUACAAAACACUAGAGGCAAAAGAAUAGAUAGACAGCUAGAUGGUUUAAGUCAAGGUUCCACUUUUCUUUUGGUAACUGUUUCAACUGGGUUUAGAUGUCAUUUGUAUCAUAUGCUCUAUUCAUAUGUAAGCAUACAGUAUGCAUAUAUAAAUAUGUGUGUGUGCGCGUGCGUGCUACUAUGCUGAUAGAUAUGCAGGCAGCGUCGCCAAGUGUCUUUUUGCAUGGAUAUCUGCAUCUAUCAAUUAGUGCCCAAAUCUCUGGCAUCUUUCUUCUGCAUUUUAUUUUGACUUUCGGUAUUACAUUUGAUUGUCGCCACUGAAGCUGGUAAAACGAAACAGGUCCCAAGAUUGAGCUAUAUAAACUCGGGUCGUGCCAUUCUGGCAUUGUCAUCGAAUGCUGUACACAAGCUCUGGAAAUGGGAAGAAAGUGAUCAAAACUUAACGGGCAGGGUAAGGAAAAAAGAGGCAAAUUCUUUUGUUGUUUAGCGUAUUGUUAACUACAUUGAUUCUUCUUUUCGCAGGCUACAACUAGUGUAGUACCACAGUUAUGGCAACCUCCCGGUGGGAAUUUGAUGACCAAUGAUACAUGUGGUGCAAAUCCUGAAGAUGCAGUUCCGUGCUUUGCAGUGUUAGAGAAUGGUCCUUUUCUAAUAUCAGCAUCAGGGGGGGAGAUCUCUUCGUUCGAUAUGAGGACUUUUAAGGUGAAUAUUUUCCCUAAGAGAUGUAUACAUCCUCUUGUCAGUUUUUGUAGCACUAUCCACAAGGCACGAGAUGAUGAACUACCCCUUUGUGCUUACUAUGCCCAGUAUUUCCUCCACAUUUUUAUGGGAGCUAAAAUUAAUUGGUUCAAUCAUGUAUAAAAACGUAUUGAACUCUAAUUGUUAGGAGGUCCAUGAAAGCAAUUGCUCCGAUUUUCAUGGGGAUUAUCUGUUCAAGAGUGCAGCAUGUCCCUUUUUACUUGCUAAGCGAGAUAAGGGCUUUUCAGUGUCUUCGAUGGAAUCUUUUUGCUCUUAUUGAUUAAAGAAAACAAGCAGUGCUUUUUUAACCCGUCUAGAGAUCUAUUGGUCCAACUUGUUCUCUCCCUUUCCUAAGAAGGGAGAUGCCAUUGAGGCAAGUGCCUCUUGGCACGUGUCCCACUGUUAUUUAUAAAGUUGUUAAUAUUAUCCUACAUGCUGAUAUGCAGACGAUGAAAAAAUUUAUGCCCCCGCCACCACCGCCACCACGAAACAAUGACAUUAUUGAGAUAGGAAUGGAGGACUCCGCUAUUCAAAUUUAUAGUGCUCGAGCUGAUGAGGUGAAACCUGUUUUCAUUGUCGUUGAAAGUUAACCUUGUGAUUAUCCACAACAAAGUUACGGAUAUUGACUAUUUUACUUUCUCAGAUCCAGAGAAAACUAAAAGGACAUCGGAGAAUAAUUCAAGGCUUUGCCUUCUCAACUUACUUAAAUGUUCUCGUGUCUUCUAGUGCUGAUUCUCAGGUACUAGACCAAUGCUUUUUUACUUGCUAGUGAGACAAGGGCUUUUCUGUGUCUUUAGUAGGAUCUUUUUGCUCUUACUGAUUAAAUAAAACAAGGCAAGAGCUUUAUUCCACAUUCCAUAAAUCUAAUAUUCGAAGUUGCCUUCUCCCUUUCGCAAGAAGGGAGACGCCAUUAAGGCAAGUGCCUCAUGGCACAUAUGUCCAACUGUUACCUAUAAAGUUGUUAAUACUAUUCUUCCUGCCAAUAUGCAGACAUUGAUAACAUUUACACCCCGACCACCACCCAUAACAUUUCUGGCGUCUUUUCCUCAAUGUGUAUAUGAAGCAAUAGGAAGGGAGGACUCCUCUAUUCAAAUUCACGAUCAUCGAAUUCAAAAGGUGAGAACUAAUUUUAUUGUUGUUCAAAGUUGACCUUGUUAUUAUCCACAACGAAUAUAUGGAUAUUGACUGUUUCACUUUCUCAGUGGGUGGCAAAUCUAAAAGGACAUCAGAAAAGAAUUACAGGCCUUGCCUUCUCUAAUGUCUUAAAUGUUCUCGUGUCUUCUGGUGCUGACUCUCAGGUACAAGACCACUACCACAUCUUCCUUUCCAUGUAGACAUGCCUAUGUUUUGGGUAGAGAUAGCAAUGUAGUUUAACCUGCUCCAAAAAAUGGGUUGAUGUUCACUCUGGAUAUAUUGAUGCUUACGCCCUCAUCAUACGUCAGUACACGAGGCAUCCUUAACUAGGCAGAAUAAAUCCUUCCAGAAAACUUCUUCUUUUGUGGUGACAGAUUAAUCCCAUCCCAUUAAGUGGGAAAUAAAAAAGCUAUGUUGUCAUGUUGUUGCUUACAACUGAUGCUUGGUGUUAUUCUAAUAUAAAAUACAACGUAAAAUUUUAUUGUUGCAUUAGUCAAUCAAUGUUGAUGUUCCCUUUGAUAAUUGUCAAUUGUCGCUGCAGUUGUGUGUUUGGAACACUCGUAGAUGGAAGAAGCAGACUAGUAAGUUUCUGCGAAUGCCGAAUGGGCGAGGAGCAGCGCCUCUUGCUGAUACUCGUGUUCAAUUUCAUGUGGAUCAAAUACAUCUGCUGGUUGUUCAUCAAACACAGAUCGCCACAUGUGAAGCUCCUAAACUAGAAUGCCUCAAGCAGGUAUUGAAUAUUUUUUUUAUUAUGCACAAUCCAAUCUCUCAUCUCAUCUUGAUUGCAUAAUAAGUAUCAAUAUAUUAGAUAGUAUGAGUCGCUUCAUGCCAAAUGUGUGUUUUUUUUUCAUUCAUUGUUGAUCGCAACUAGUGGGACACUCGAGAAGCUAGCGCUCCAAUCACAGAUGCUACAUAUUCAUGCAAUGGCCACUCAAUAUAUGUGAGCUUUGAAGACGGGAGCAUCGGUGUUCUUUCUACCUCUACACUCAGAUUGAUAUGUUGUAUUAAUCCUGCGGCUUAUAUCCUUCCAAAACCUAGGUAAGUUGGUUAUUGCUGCUCACUUAACCUCAUUCCUUUAUGGAAAAUGGCAAGUCUCAUUCGCAAAGUUCCAUAGUCUCGUGAAUUAUUCAUUCCUUACUGAUGUAUUUGGCAGCUUGAGAGUAUACCCGCUAGUCAUCGUAGCACAUCCAUCAGAACCUAACCAGUUUGCGCUAGGGCUUACUGAUGGCAGCGUGUAUGUGCUUGAGCCAUUGGAAUCUGAAGGAGAGUGGGGUGGUUCUCCUGUUGAAAAUGGUGCUGGGCCUAGCACGACCUAUGGCACAACCAAUUCAGAUCAACCCCAAAGGUAGUGCAGGCCAUGUCUCUCCCUGUGAAACUUGUGAGCAUUACAAUGCUAAGCCGGCUUUCCUCCACCUUACUUGAUUCAAGUUUUGAGGGGAUGCUGCUGAGGGUAGAUUUUACUACCUCAGGGUACUUCCUUGCAACAUAGUUCGGUAUAGUUUGUCCUAAUCGACUUCUGCUCAAGUCUUGUGGUGAUAACUUGCUUUGUUAUAUUCAUUUGGGUUGACUGGAAGUGAAAGAAGAAAAACAUGAGAUUAGAGUGUAGUUUUGAAUACAACAAAUUGGAGGUAGAGAGGAUGUCCCACUUCCUACACAACCAGAAACCUAAGGACUUGAUUAUACUAGUUAGUUAACCAAUGUCUUUUUAGUACCUAAACUUAAUUAAUUUAUAAACUAAUUGUCCACACAAUUUUUGACCAUUUUAUUAACCUAUGUUACUAAAUGAUGUUCAUGUAUGAUUGCACGAUCAAUUAAAAAGUAAACAAUCACAAUCAAUGUAAUGGAAGUAAAUUAGAAGAAAGUAGACCCAGUGGAGUGUCAAGCGAAGAAUCAUAUGGCUUUGUUAUUAAGCCUCUGGGCAACAACCUGUGCUGAAUUCAAUUGAGGCCAAUUCAUCAAAAGAGUGCUCUACCUAAACCUAAAUAAAUUAAAGUUACUUAUCAAAAACCCCCUAAACUAUAUGUAUACUAACUAAAUAAACUAAGCUAAAUCUAGCAUCACAACUUAACGACCUAAUCAAGGUCUCCGUUCCUAGCAAUUUUCAAAUUUUUAUUUUUUUUUGAAUUUUUGGAAAUUAAUUCUUAUCAUUUUUUGAAAAUAGGGACCUGAGCUCCGGCUAUGAGCUGGACGCUGGUCUCACGAAUCUGGGAUAAUAACUAAUAACCACAGUUCGGGCUCUAAUGUUCAGGCCCCUCCAAUUCUAACUUCACUGAGCCCAAUUUCGAUUAUACAUAUUCUAAGCCCACUACCCAUCGUAACUACUCUAGCCCAUUUUCUCUUCCAACUUCACCUAGUCCAUCUUUAAGCCCGAUUUCUAUUAUAGGUAGAUUAAACCCUAAGCCCGCUCGAAACCCAUCUCAUUAUUAUAUUUAAAUCAAUUCUCCUCUUUUCUUACGUCUUUUCGUCAUUUUUUUUUAUAUAUUAUUUUCUUCUUCCUUCUUCCAGCCCUUUGUCCUCUUGGGCAAGUCAAGAAUCUAACCAGCCAUUUUCUCGCCGAUGAGCUCCAUAGAGACUUAACAAAAACAUAUGUGAAAUUAUAGAACGAAAACUCAAGAAAAAUCUAUGUUCUGAUUUGAUCUUGAUAACAAUGAAUUUUAAUAAGAAUUAAAUCUGAAUGCUUAUGGACUGACUUGUAGCAAGUAAUGUAUGCUAAAAUUUCUUCAGAUUGAACUAGAUUAGGAAUUAUUUCACCAAUAUAUCUUAGAGACAUUUCAUCAAACAGUAUAUGUGCACCAAAGGGAUUGAAUCUUGUCAAUAAUUGAAGUUUUUUUUUUCGUCUAAAAUCAAUGUCAGGACCAUGAAGCCAUUACAAAUCAUCAAAUUACAACCUAGAUCAUCAGUGAUUUUCACAUUAGUAACCUGAACGUGGUCCAGUCAUGCAUCUUUCCGAAACAGGGCAAGAAAGAGGGGAAUGAAAUUAUCUUCUCAAGGAGUUCUCAGUUGAGAACUAAAGGCUAAUGAACAAACUAACGGCUAGACAUAGUCUGGUUUCUGGGCAUUUAUGCGUCCGAGUAAUGCAAGUUGGACUUAAUAGAUGUGGAUGGGCCAUGGGCUUGGCUUGGACGAAUUGGAUCGAGCCCAUCGCAUUGAAUAGAUAUCCUUUUAAAUUAGUUGAUGAAUUGAAUUCCCUUCAGUUAUUAUUUUUUGUAAUCUUCAUUUUGGUUUUAUUUAUUCAUAUCUUCAAUAUAAACCGCCUAAGUUGCCGAUUUUCCUUUAAUUGUUGACUAAAAAUCAAACAUCCACGGCAGGUCCAAGACCUCAAAAUUGGUUGAAGCAAUUUCCUAAGAGUUGUUGUAAUCCUGAAGGUGCUACAAUUGAGAAAUGUUUGACAAACCCUUCACAAAAGCCGCAAUGCCCAUUUUCAUAGUCCAAGUAACUCCUAACAUUAAUUAUUCAUACUAUUUUCAAAAUAAUUCAUAUAUUUUUAGAUAGUCAUAAUAUGAAUAAUUUAUUUAGCAAUUUCUAUUAAGAGUCGAAUUGUUAAUUCGAAACUUUCAAGCAAAGAAUUAUAAAAGGAGAUUGCCAAAGGCAUUGGAAGGCAAUUUGGAAAAAGAAGUAUUUUAUAAGAGUCAUAAUAAGUCAAAAUUCAACAAAAUGUCAAUCGAAGUGCUUAAUCAUGAAAAAGAAGAAGCGAUACCAAUAUCAAAAACCAAAGAGCUGUUGGCAGAAUCAAAAUUUCCUUCUCAUCUCCUGUUGGUGUAUAAACUAUUUAUUUAGUUCCGAAAAGAAUAAAUAUAAAUUUACGUUUAUUUUGUCACAUAGUUUAACUUAAAAGUACUUUGAUUUGAUAGGUGGAACCAUCACAACUAAACUGGGUAAGGUCUCUCUUUAAUUUUUGUGGGUAUAUAUUUACAAUGUUAAUAAGUACCUGACAUUUAGAAAUGCUGUGGACAGUAGCUCUCCUUCAUCCUUACAAUGAAUGUCAAUACAACGAAAAUUAAUUAACCACAUUUAAGCCAUUCUCAAUUACUUGCAAGCAUCUGCACACAAAGUGAAACCUGCUUAUUUCCGUCUUCGACUGGGCUUCUUACUCUUUCUAGCUGGGGUCGACUGCUCCAAAGGCACUGGUAAUAGGGUUCCUCCUUUAACACCAUCUUUAUCAUUCAUCUUAUCGAGAGUUUUCUGGGCUCCAAUAUACACCUUAAGGUCUCUGAUCUGUGAAGGAUGACAAGGGACAUGCCACCGUCAACGCACACUAUGCACGCACGCGCGCAGAGUUUUCACAAUAUUAUAUACAAAUUAUUACAGUUUUAAGGCUAAAAGAAAAUACCUGUUCUUCUAAGUCAAGUAUUUGUUCAUCCUUCAACUUCAGUGACAGAGUUUUCCUGCAGAUGCACAGAAGCGUAUGUGUCCUCCAUUCAUGUCAAAUUAGAAGGGAAGACUAAAUUCCUGACAGCUUUAAUUGACUGGAAUCAUAUACUGAAAAAGUGUCGGUACAAUUGACAAUAAUGCUUAUUGAGGAAACUAGUCCACGUAACUUCAAUGAAGAUGGACAAGACGAGUAUACUUCAAAAGGCUGCAUGAAUUUUUCUAUAAAGAAAAUAUUGUAGGCAUAUUAAGGUACUUAAAAGGCAUCUACACCUAUAUUGCUUGACAUGUGAAGCUCAAAUAAGCUUUAAGUCUACCCAAUGUAUCUUCUUUUCCUUUUAUUUUCUAUUUUGUGAAAGUUGGAAAUGUCGACAUAACGCAGUAUGAACAACCAAUCGAAUUUUAAUUGGAAUUAGUAGAAUUUCAAUAUUGAACCAUAUCAAUUAAAAUUUGAAUCCUGAACCAUCACAGAUUAAUGUUCAAAUAUCUCCAGUGUGUAAAAAAGUACUUUGAAAUUGGACCACCACCAUGAAGAUUUUAACAUUGAUUUCUGUCGAUAAAGUUCAACCUCUAAAGCAGUAGCACUAUUUCUUCAGAGGAAAACAAAAUUACAGAUGGAGCAUAUAUAAACAAAAGAACAAAAUUAUGGAGAGCACCGACACAUGGAACCUUCUCCAUACGUGCUUCGCUCUCUCCUUUCUCCUUUUCCCCUCUUUGUCUCUUUCUUUCCCUCGUUAGAGUUUGUCCCAUCUUGCCACUUUUUUAAAAGGAUUCAAUAAAAAAACACCAAAAGCUUUUUCAUCUUCUUGCCACAUCCCCCAACUAAUAAUUAACCUAAACUUAAUUAUCCUUCCCAAGUAUGGUGAAAGGAAGGCAUAUUACCCAUGUGAUAAACUCUUACUCAUCAUAAAAUGACUUUCAUUCUUUUGCCAUUUGUUAUGUGUUACAAGUCACGUAUAGUUGCUAUUCACAUAUUUGAAUUAGAAACUGUAUUUCCUCUUUCUUCUUCGAACUUUAACCUUUUUUACCUCACAUCUAAAAGUCCAUUGCACGUGAACACUUCCUCUUCAUGAUACCCUUCCCACUCUUUUCUCAUCUUCUCAAAUGUCUGUUUCCACUUCCUCCCUCAUGACCAACCUCACAUGAACUAUUACUACAAUGCUGCUUUCAUUUUACUGAUUAGUUUUAUGAGACUAUGAAUGCUAUGGUAUUACUUGUCUAGAGAAAUCAGCAAUGAAAAAUACCUCUCUUCAAUUUCCUUAACCUUUCUCCGCAUCAUAUCUUGGUUCUUGAUAAGAGUUUGAUUAAGCUGCAACCACAAGGAAUGGCAUCCGUUACUGUUAUGAAUGAGUGAAAACUAUUGCAUCUGAUUGUAAUAUGAAAAUGAGGCAUGUGAAAAACAAGCAAAACAACAAUCAGCCUUGGCUUCAGGCAGCCCUCCUCUCAAACUUUAAACAAACAAAAAUCACAAAAGGUAAAACAGAGAAGACUAAAGCCUUACCUCUGCCACGGCCUUCUUUUCAUCACCAAGUUUCCCCAACUUACUAUGGAUGUCUUCAAUCUUUGAAGUCACACCUUUCUCGAUUGCUUCUAGUUUGGAAUUUUCUUUUCUACUUUUGGCUUCUAACAUGAGAGACUCAUAAUGCUAACAGAGAAAAACAAAAGAAUUAAUAGGGGAUGAUAUGUUCAAGGACUUACAAUGUAUUCUUUAAAGUCAGUCUAAGGAUGAUGGCAGUCUAUGUAACAACAAUGACAAACAUGGGUUAGAAAUGGAACACUAUCAUCAACAGUAGCAUGGGCAGUUUAUAUAUAAUCUACUGGCUUUUGUAAUUCUACUUCCGAUACAACAGGUUUUCAAUUCAGAUACUCUUCCUUCUAAGACACAUCACAAAAAGUCAAUAAUAAAAGAGUCCUGGCACCUUAGGGAAACUCAAUUCAUUUUCUACCACAGAUAUAUUAGUAAGAAAACAGAAAAGAAAAGAAGAAUACCGUAAGUUUUGCAUUUCUCUCGAGCUGAUGCAAGCCCACUAGUUCUCUUAUACUUCCUAUAUAAGCUCAUUAGACAAAUGCAGUAUGCAAAUCGACAGGUAUAAAAUGUUGUACACUACAUAAAAGCAAAUGAAGCUGAGAUUAUACAACAUGAGUGUAAUUACUUUCCUUCUCUUCACAACAAUUCUGACAAUCCCAUUGAUUUCCAAGAGUAAAAUGAGUUCACUUAAGGAAAAAAAGAGAGAGAGAGAGAGAAAAGAAAAUGGACAAACAUUUUUUGAUCUGAAAUAACUAAACUAAUGUUCUAUUAUGGUUUUCUCCUAAAAUAUGUGUACUUAAAAACCAUUACCUAAAGCAAAAGCACAAUCGAACGCAAGCUUUCACAAGUAAUGCUUAUAACCAUGGCUGAUCAGUCAAUAUAAUAAAAUGUAAAAGACUAAACAGGGAGAAUUGAAAUGGUCUUGGUAUACGCAUGCUUACUUUUCUUUGCACUUCCAGCUGACUUGAAGCUAGAUGAAUAUAGUCGGCGUGAAUCUACAAAAAAGUAAAGCUACAGUGUCAGAGUAAAUGAAGAAAGUCUGACAAUUAUAAUGGAGGCAAUAUCCACUUUGCAGGCCCAAUAAUGAACUUGUGACAUUUGGCCAACAAAAUGAACAUGUGCAGUACAAAAACAGAAACAGAAUCUUUCAUUGUCAGUUGUCAGCACCUAAAACAGUAAAAGCAUCAUGCACCUCAAAACUUCAAACAUUUCACUUAACUGAGUCCAAGCUCCAAAUCUUUGCAGGGAAAGGGGAACCAGAAAACAAAAAUAUUCAAAGCAUAAAAAUAAGAGGACACAUGAACCUACUGCUUCGAUUUUGCUGCUGAAGAGCGCCCCACUAAUUUCAGAAUCCUCGCUACAACCGCAGCUACCACAAUCUCCUUCAAGUGAUUCACAGUAUGAAUUCAUCUCCAAAAGCUUGCCGUCAGCUUUUGAUUGAUUAAGCCAGUGAACAUAAGUGUCCCCAACAUAAUCCCAAAUUUGCUGUGUUCUUAAAUCCAGAGAAUAGCAAUGUUGUGUAUUUUUCCAAUGGCUGAUUGCGUGGUUAUCUUUGUAUCUACAAAGCCAGAAAAGAAAAGCUAUGAUGAAGACAGCCUAUCCAAUCACUAAAAUUAUAGAAUGAGCGAAAAUUCCAGCACAUCAUGACUGGAUCCAUCACCUUCCACAUCCGACAAAACCACAUAUGAGACAAACCCAAAGAUUUUCCUUUGUUCCACAAAUAAAGCAGGAAGGUACCUCAUCUUGCUGUUGGCAUAGAUGGCAAACCUGGUAAAGAACAGAAACAGAAUCUUCUUCACAAUCUGUUAACAGAGGGGCAUCCCUGAUGAUGUUGCAAAAUGAAACUACAUUUCCAAUCAAGGUAAUUUCUUGCAACCAAAUCAAGAUAUGUGCUGUAAUUGACAUCUUUAGCAAUGUAAUUGGAACUUGCAAUAAAAUCAAAGGAAGACCCUUGGGACAUCACCAGCAUGGCAGACAUCAUGUUGACUUAUUUUAACCAUAAAGAUUGAUGAAUCAAGCAAAAGUUAGUAUGCACAUGUCUGUCGAUAUAUCUUCUACAUGGCACUUUUUCAACUUUUGAUAUUACAUGAGCUCAAAGGUACUUUUUUUAUACAAAUUCACAUGGACAGAGCAUAUUAGAACAUCACUUGAAAUGUAAAAUACGACCAUGAAACAUCUUAGCUUCAAGAUGGGGAAUGUUUGAGGUCAAAGAUCAGAAUUUUGACAUCAGUAUGAUCAUCCUGUACUUGUGAACACACACAUAACUUAUCAUGUAUGCUUGGCCACUGCUAUUACUUCUGUCACUCUUUGACUCACGAGAAAUUUGACAUAGGAGUGACAGGACCAUCGGAUCAAAUACACAUGAUGAGACAUUGCAAAGAUUCUUGUGUCAGAAUAUGAUAAUCAACAAAAAGUAACUCCUAGGAGCCACGCCAUUGACCUAUUCCAAAUCUCCAAAUAAAUGUCAUGAUAAUUUAAAAGAAAUCCUGAACUUAGUAAGCGCAAUAGAGUAAAGGAAAAUUCUACUUUUCAUUCAUAUACUUUCACACGACUUCUAAUCAUGUUUCCAUACUUUUAAUUUGCCUAACCAAGUCCAUCUACUUUAACAAUCUUUCUAAUCAAGUCUUUCCGACACUUAAUACAACCAAAUUCAAUUGAAGUGGCCCUUCGACGACAACAAUGUAUGAUGCCGAUAAAAUUUGCAGAUGCCCACGUGGACAUGUAUGGAAAAAUUUAGCCAAUGUAGACGACCUUGAAGUGUGACAUGGAUAAAAUAAUGGACGUCCACAUUAGAAAAAUUUUAUCCACGUCACACAAUGAAGACAUCUGGCAGUCACAUCAGCUGAAUUUGGCCUGAUUUGGUGUCAGAGAGACUUGAUUAGAAAAUUGGUAAAAGUAGAAGAACUUUAUUUAACAAAUUAACGGUACAAGGGACUUGAUUAGAAAAAAAUGUGAAAGUACAGAAUAAAAACAAUACUGCCACAACUGCUACAGCCAGUAUUAAUUAUCAAAAACCAACAAUUAAUCCACAGUCAGCAGAUUAACAGAGAGAUAGUGGCAGUAGCUUGGAAAUUACAUUAUAAAUUCAUCUAAUCCGUAUCAGCAGAAGAAUGCCUAACCUGACAAGACAAGUAAGUCCAUUUUGUACCACAUGAACAAUGAAAGGAAUGGUCACACUGCGUACUCAAAAUUCCACUGGUAUCUGGGUCCAAUCUCUGACAUUUUUUUAAAAAAAAGUUGCAACUCUGAACAACUUUUGAUAAACUCAUCUCACUGCGGAGGAAAUAUAAUCAGCAAGGGGGCACCAGCAUGGCUUACCAAGACAAACUGGACAAGAGGGUAGCUCCGUAAAGCCCGAUGGGGGUGUGCUAGCUACAUCAGCUGAUUCCGUAUAGUCCACUUCGUGCAGAUAUAGAAUAUGGCAUACCUCAGCCUGAAUGUCCAGAAGACGAGUAUUAAAAGUGAAACAGAAAUCGACUAUGUGAUCUCACAGCAUACAACAGGUGCAAAAAUUGCAAAUACCUCAGCAGGCGAGAAAUUCUUGCCAUUGAAGGUGCAAUAGAAACCAUCAGCAGCCUUUUGAUCGGUAAGCUCGAUCAGCACACUGUACCUAUCUUCCAUCCCAUCAUUCCUACAUCAAACGCACAAUUCGCAAUACAACGAUCACUAAAACCAUUAAAAAGCAUUUAAAAAAGAACCCAGAUCGGAAAACCCAGUUCCACCGUCGGAAUGCUUCCAAAAAAUUGAACUUUCAUCAUCGGACCCCCCCUAAGGCAUGAUCAUGAGCAAAUUUUUGAGUUUCGAGUCCAUCUUUUAGAUUUUUCGUCAGCGAAUUCUAAUUCCUCGAAUUCUCUCUUUCGCUUGCCCAAUUCAUCUCACCAACUGCAAAAACCGGUCCGAAGUCCCGAAGAAGAGGAGGAGAGAAAACAGAAACGAUGGAAGCCUUACCUGAUGAACCGGAGCUCGGAGACGUCGUCCAUCCGGGGGCCGCAGAACCGGAUGAAGUCGUCGGGGGAGAAGUAAUUGGGGACGGCGACGACGAAGAGGGUGGUGGAGCGGGCGCCGGGGCUCGAGAGGGGCGCGUGCGACAGCGUCCGGAACAGGUGGACCAUGCCCCUCCUCUCGGUGAACCUAGGGCUCCCCGGCGGCGGCGAGGAGGAGGAGAAGCCGCCGUAGUCGGUGGCGAGGGGGUGGUCGGUGUCCACCGAGUGGCCCCGGAAGAAGAACAUUUUUUAUUUAUUUCGGGUUUUCGAAAUAUAAAAAAAAAAAAAAAACUAAAUUUGAAAUUGAUAAUAUGUAAAUUGUCAUCCAAUUUCAUUGAUAUCAAAUUAAUUUUUGAUUGAGCAAGUCGAGAAUCAUGUGAAUUAUGUGAUUGCUUAUGAACGACAUAAUUUUAUAAUCAUCUGAUUCUCAUUUACUAUUAAAAUGAUGAUGCAUCUAGAUUGACAUUUGUAAUGAAUUCUAUAAACAUUGAAAAAGUAAAAAAUGAAAAAGGCCUAAACUGACCUAGUCGUGUAUUCUAUUUCUUUUGCUUCAUCUGACAAACAAAACAUGACCAAACAAGCUAGAUUACUCCUAAAUAUUCUAAAACUGAAAUGCAAGAGCAGUCGAGUGUCUAUUCGGCAUAAAAAUUGCUAUUACAGGUGAUUAUUAUGCAAGCCUAGUUUGGGCCAACAUCAGGAGUAAUGUGUUGCUCAAGCUCACUAAUAAAAUGAAUCAUACAUAGAAAUGUUGGGACACGGCUUAGGUGAAGGUCGGGCAAGCUAGGAUUUUUUACCGUAAGGAUAUUUUAUAGUCUCGGGGUCAUGUCUCUCAUUGUGAUGUUGCAAAGUGUAGAUUUUAUAGUCUCGAGGUCUUCCUCCUUACACACUUUGGCACAAUUUGUCUUAAAGUGGUACAAUUAACAUCCUCAUCGACUUGUAGAUUUUAUAGCCUUGGGGUCUUCCUCUGGACAUAGUUUGGCACGGUCUGUUUUAAGUGGUACAAUUAGCAUCCUAAUCGACUUCUGCUCAAGUCUAGUGGCGAAAAUUUGUUUUAUUAUAUUCAUUUAGGCCGAUUGAAAGUGAAAAAGAAGACUGACCAAAAAAAAAGAAAGUGAAAAAGAAGAACAUGAGAUUAGGGUGUUGCCUAAAGCGUUGUAUAUUCGAGUUGGAGACAGGUUUAUCUGAUUUUAGUUAGCAAGCUAAAGGAUCGUAGGAACAGGGUUUAGUUUUUGCAGGCGGCUUCUUCUCUUGUUCCUUUUGCGUCGUGCUGAAAGUACUUUUCUUAUGUAUUUUAUUUAUUCUUUUUAAUUUGCUGAAGUAGCAUUUGUUAGCACUUAGCAGGUUCUCUUUUCUUGUUCUUUCGCCACCAAAAACAAAAAAAAAAAAUCUUCUUCCUGUGUUCCUAUUAUGAACGCGAUUUGAGUGCAACAGCACUCAGACCUUGGAUGAAAGUAAAUACUUCGCCAUGGUCUAUCUCGACAUUUUGCUUAUUGGAAUGCAAUCUUUGGGAAUCAAGUUCCAUCUUUUUUAGGAUGAUGGUCUUUAACUGCAGUCGGUUAAACACUGCAUCGUCGGGGACACAAGUCGGUUAUUUCUCCAGCUUUUACAGUUAACGGACUUGAUUUUUUUCAUUUGCAAAUGGACACAAAGCAGGGAGGAGCAUGACAACGAGCCUCUUUUGAUCUCAUCUAUAUUCCUAUCACCCUUCCCUUACUACGCUAUCAGCCACCAAAGAGUACUUUCUCUCAGCACAUGAGCCUAUAUUGUCAUUGCAAAGUGCUUGCACUUCAAACAAAUGCGGAAGUAGGAUGUGCAAUUUAGAGUGUCUGAUUUGAUUCGUAUACAGCGGGUUCAACCCUCGACAAGUUUGGAUGUCACACCUUAAAAGGCACAUUCUUCUGAACGGCUGAGUUUGCAGAAUCAAUAGCAAAGUGAACCUAGUGGGCACGUUUUCUCCGAACAUUUCCACAAAAUUUGGAAUUAGUUCCCCUUACAAAUAGGAACGAGGGUUUUCCCCCUUAUGAGAAGAUGUUCUUGACCUGGGAGUUUAGAAGGGAGUAAGGGCCCGUUUGGUUCGGCUUUGGGGGAAUGUCAUUUGGAGAAUGCAAAUAUCUUUGAGAGAAAGAGGCUUUCGGAAAUGUUAGACCGUUUGGUAAAUUUUAGCAUUGAAAUGCAACUUGGCAUAAAUACCGUUUGGCAAACUUUGCAUUUGGAAUUAGCUUUUGGUAUUUUUUAAUUUCUUUAAAAUCUGAAAUCAAAUUCCCGGCGGCCGGCCACUGCCGACCAACCGCCGGCGACCGCCGGACGGCCAGAUCUGGGCCGUCGCCGGACCACCAGAUCUGGCCGCCGGAGGUCGCGGAGGCCAGAUCUGGCCUCGCCUGGUCGCCUGGCUCGCGCGAGACUAGGCGACCGAAUUUGGUCGGGUGCUCCGAGCACUGCUCAGCCCGUUGCGUGGGUCGCGCAACCCAGGCGACGCCGCCUGAGGCCGCGACCCACGCGACGACGGUGCGUGGCGACGGCAGUGCAUGGCGACGGCAGUGCGUGGGCGACCAGCUCCAGCUAGUUGAGCUCCGCCGGCUAAAGCUUCAAUCUUGAAGAAACAAUGAAGACGAGGAAGACGAUGAACAGUUAUUUUUUAGGGUAAAAGAAGAAAACUAAAUUAUCAAUGAGGGCAAAAGUGGAAGAAAAAAAAAAUCAUUAAACCCCCUUCAACAUGCCGAAAAUGCUGAAUGCCCAAAGCAGGUCCCCACCUGCUUUGGGCUUUCAGCAUUCCAGAGUAUUUUAAAUGCUAGCAUUCCCCCAAAUAUACUCCCAAAUGCUGAACCAAACGGCUGAAAUUUUUCCCAAGGGGCUUUUGGGGCUGAAAGCCCCUUGGGAAUGCUGAACCAAACAGCCCCUAAGAGCCACUUAAAAGCUGUCGUAGUUUUGGAGAUGGUAUCAAACGACCUCUCAAAAAAGUAAUCCCAGUAUGCCAAACAUUAAUUAUUUUGACCUUUUACAAAAUCGUUCAUAUAUUUUUAGACAGUCAUUAAAUAAAUCGGUUUUAUAGCAAUUUCUACAAAAGCCAAUUUGUUAAUUCAAACAAUCCAAGAAAAGAACAAUAGAAGGAGAUUGCCAAUGCCAUUGGGAGGCAACUUGGCAAAGCGAGCACUUUUGUGAGGUAUAAUAAGUCAGAGUUUAACAUCAUAUGGAUCAAAGUCUUUGAUCGCGAAUAAAGAAAUGGCAAAACCACAAUCACAAAACUGAGGGUAGUUGGUAUAAUCGAAAUUUCAUUAAAAACUACUGUCGGUAUAUAAACUUGUUAUUUUAUUCCAAAGACAAAAAUUAUAAAUAUAUUACCAAAGCAGAACAACAUAUAGAAGAACUGAAGUUGAGAUCUAGACUUCUUAAAUUUUGGGGAGAAAAAGUUUCUACAAUAAGUUUUUAGGUACUGCUUUCAAGAAUGCUUUAGUAAGAUUGGCGGAACUGUAACAACUAAACUGAGAAUGGUCUUUCUUUAAUUUUCAGCGUCUGGCCGAGUAUAUGCAUCUACAAUGUCAAUAAGUGCCGGACACCGAAACUCAAUUGAAGAGGAGGACUGGGGAAAGUCGGGGAGUUGCACCAUCCACAACCCCUCCAAGUAUAGAGGUUCUGCAGAACACUGGGCAGUGAAAUACCACCCUCAGGCCUCCCUUGCGUCCGCAGAUGCUGCUAACAGUACUUUUCCUUCCUACUUAUGACGAAUGUCGAUAAAAUGAAAAAACAAUUAACUACAUUCAUGCCAUUCUUGUUUACUUAUCAAGCAUAUGCACACGAAGUGACACCUGCUUAUUUCCGUCUUCGGCUGGGCUUCGUGCUCUUUCUGGUUGGAAAUGAUUACUCCAAACGCACGGGUAAUAGGGUUCCUCCUUUGACGCCAUCUUUAUCAGUCAUCUUACCGAAUGUUUUCUGGUAUCCAAUAAACACCUCAAAUUCUUUGAUCCGUUAAAGAUGACAAGGAACAUAUUGCUGUCAACACACGUUACAUACACAUACACGCGGUUGGCAAUAUUAUGAAAACCAUAUGAAGGAAUAAAGUUUUGAGGUUCAGAAAAUGUACCCGUUUAUCCACAUUUAGUAUUUUUUUCAUUCUUCGACUUUAGUGACAAAAUUAUCCUGCACAUGUGAAGAAAUCGUAUGUGUGCUUCAUUCAUGUCAAAUCAGAUGGGAGGACUAAGUUCUCCGGACAGCUUUAAAUUGACUAAACUCGUCUACAAGUUGCAUCAAAUACAAUCCAUAACUAUGCUUAUCUAGGAAGAUUAGCCCACAUGACUCGAAUGAAGAUGAACAAGAUGAGUAUACUUUAAAAUGCUGCAUAAUUAUUCUCUACCUUGUAUGCAUAUUAAGGAACUCAAAAGGCAUCUAAACCCACAUCGCUUAAUCUGUGAAGCUCGAAUAAGGGUUAUGUCGACCAAGAGCAUAUUCUUUUCCUUUUAUUUUCUAUGUUCUCGAAGUUGGAAAUUUCAACACUACACAUCAUGAACAACCAAUGAACUGUUAUUGGAAUUAGUAAAUUUUUAAUGUUGCAAUUAAAUUUUAGUCGCAAACCAUCACAGAAUUAUUUGCAAAAUUUUCUAGUGUGCAAAAUUGUACUUUGAACUCGAACAAUGACUGUGGAGUUUUGAACAUUAACUUUCUGCCGAUAAAGUUAAACCUCUAAGGCAAUAGCACUAAAACAUCAAAAGGGAAACAAAAUCACAGAUGAAACAUACAUUAACAAAGGAACCAAAUAAGAGAGAGGUCGUCCCGUCUCGCCACUUCUUUGAAACUUCUUCAAAAAAAAAUUCCCAAUAACUACCUACUUCAUCUUCUUGCCACGUCCUCUAACCAAUAUUAACUCAAACUUGGUCAUUUCCCUCCAAAGUAUGGUGAAAAGCAGGCAUAUUAUCUAUUCAAUAAAUUCUCACACAACAUAAAAUGACUUUUCCUUGCACCUUUAAUGAUGUGUCAUAAGUCAUUUAUAAUCACAAUUCAGAUAUUUGCAUUGGGUGUUGUAGUUUCUCUAUCCUCUUCCAACUACUUUCACCCUUUUUACCUCAAUUUGUGACACCAUCUAAAAGUUCAAACUAUUGAACUCUUCCUCUUCACAUUACCAUCCUCACUUUUUUCUCAUCUUCUCAAAUGUUAUUCCGACCUUCCCUCUCAUGACCGACCGACCUAACUUAAAUGAAUUAUGACCAGCAUUGACUUGGGCCAUUAGGUCCAGCAUGAUAGAACUCAAGCGGGCCGACCCUAACCCGAAUCUCUCUUCAACUGAAAUUCACAUGCCACAUGGCACGCUUCCAUUAGUUAAAAUCCUCGUUGUCUACAAUAGAACAAAUGACGCCCAAUGGUCUAAUCAAUUUUCGUGAAAACUGUGUGGGAGCACAAAACUCUAGUUUAAAAAUUUUUAAAAAAAAAAAACAAAGCUAUUCUACCACCGGCCAAUCAUUACAUGUUCCGACUCCUUCGCUGGUCGCGCCGUCGACCAUCAAUCUCAGGAGGAUCACGUUUGUUCAUUUCAUCGAGAGCACCAUUCCAGAACUAUUUUAAAUAUUAAAAAAAAAAAAAUGGAGCAAGGAAAAUUCAUCUCGAAAAGGCGAUUCCGUUCGAUUCAGUUGGCGAUUUCAAGCGUUCUGAAUUGAUCCCAGUGGCGGUCGCCCGCGUCAACAGCCUCUUCAAUGCCGCGACUCAUCUCCUUCGUUUCCCUUCCGCGGCCGAGAGCUUCGAAAUGUUGUCGUUCCGCUCGAAGCUUCUCCACCUGUUCAGGUUUCGAUCAUCGACACGUUCCAUAGCUUCUUUCAGUGAUUCGUGCGCCAAACCGCGGCCUCAGUCCGCUUGAUUAACCGGGUAGCAUCUCCUGUUCUGUCGUCACAAGUAAGAGGCCGAGAGUCCGAUUCUCUUAUUAUGAUGAAAUUGAUCAUAGCUGACUUUUUUUUCAUUGACUUCGAACAUCAUGUACUGAUUUAGGUUGAGUCUAGUUACAAAUUUGGGUUCGAAAUGGCUUUGAUCUGUUCCACAACCGAUUCACCAUAACCUGUUCGGUGAAAUGUGUCUGAGACCUUGGUGUGAAUUGAUUCCAGUAAUCUUCCGAUUUGAAAGCACAUUAGUGAUGUUCACUUGAUAUUGUUUGAUUUUUUAAUCUUUAGACAUGAUUACGAGUAUACACCAAUAGUUGCCAAGGAUGAAACUGACUCUCCGUUUGUUUCCUCGGUGGUUCCUGUGAUCUUUUGGUGAUUGGUGGUGGUUGGCGAGACGAGAAGGCUUGGAGUCACUGGCACACGCGUGAUCUUUGGUGAUGAUCAUAGUACACCCUGUUGAACAGAAUUCAGAUGACGUCGCUGAGCAUGAAUCGCGAUCACGCCAAUUCAGAUCACUAACUUUGGCCGACACAUGUUUCGGUCACUAACUGGAGCAAUGUUAUGGCUACUUGCUAGCCUUAUCGUUGCUGCUGAGUUGCCUCACAAUUUCCUCAACCGCCGAGCUUUGCUUCUGUCCAUGCCUUGCAGUCCAUCGUUGCCAUUGUAAUUGCUGUGGUAAACCUACCUUGCCAUACCGCCAUGCGUUACCGAUAUGGAUUGACGUACCGAUAGAGCUAUAUCCACUGCGUUUUGUUAAAAACUGGAUCACCUCAUACCACCGGCUUGUUUCUGGUCCAACUGAUUUUUAGAGUUGACUGUAUAUUCUGAUUUCCUUCACUCCUUUGUUUUUUAUGUUCAGGAUUUUGCGCAUCUUCUUAAACCGAAUCAUGGGAAAGCUAAGCGGUUCGAAGUCCAGUCAUCAUGGGGUCAAUACUUUGUCACAAAAUCAUCGCAGAUUGCCUGCUUUGCCAUUCCUGUCUUGUCCUUUGAUUAUUGAUUACUCCACCUUCGUCAAUUUCAUUGUCCAGAAGCAGGUGCUAAAUCUGAGAACACCCACUAAAAUGAUAUUUUAUGUCUGUCGUCUAUUUCCUGCUUUAUUCUCUGUGGAUGACAUAUUCUACUUCACACGUGCUGUCGAGGGAGAUCAUGGUCCACAAUCAAUAUGAAGUGAGCAAGUUGUAUUUACUCUCUGUCAUUAGUUGAUAAGCUUUUGGGUAUGACAAUCAAGGAAUGAAACCAGUUAGUAGCUUGCUCAGAAUUAGUAAAUGAGGAUUUAUUUCUUUCUUAGAAGUGUCAAUGCCAUCGCUUUGUCUCUGAUUGUGGAAAGAGUUUAUUGUUCUUUUUGAACUUGCAUAAAAAUCGAUGGAAUGCUUAUGAAGCAGUGAGAUACCCGGAAUUUACAAGUUUUAUGAAUUGGUGUGUCCUGUUGUUGCAUAUGCUGUAGUUUAGCGGUUAUUGUUCAUCUAUGUUUGCUGAACCGUUUGAUUUAUCACUUUCAAUUAACAAGAUUUUGAUAAAGACACGUGACAAUUGUGAGAGAUGCACUGAAACUGGCACUUUGGUGAUGACAGUGCUCCUUCGUGUUGGAGCACUGUCAUUUAUGAUGUUGGAGAAGUGAAUAUGUGUUGAAGGUGCCAACCCCUCGUGAUCUUGGACCCACUCGUUGAAGAAAUGGAGAGGUAUAAACGUAAUCACUUUCCUUCUCUUCGCAACAAUUCUGCCAUUCCCAUAGAAGUUCCAAGAGUACAAUGAGGUCACUUAAAAAUAAUAAAACAGAAAAUGGAGAAACAUUUUGAAUCGGAAGUAGAUAAACUAGUGUUCUAUUAUGGUUUUCUCCUAAAAUAUGUGGUGCUUAGAACCAUUGAGAGAGAGAGAGAGCUUUUCGGAGUAAUGCUUACAACCGUGGCUGAUCAGUCAAAUAGCACAUUGGACAAUGUACAAGACUAUGUUAAGCAGGGAGAAUUAAGAUAGGUAUCCGCGUGCUUUAUUUUCUUUGCGCUUCCAGCUGAGUUGAAGCUAGAUAUAGGUGGCAUGCAUCUAUGAAAAAGUAUAUCUACAGUGCCAGAGUAAACGAGGUAAGUCUGAUAAUUGUAAUGGAGGUAAUAUACAUUUUGCAGCCCCAGUAAUGGACAUGUGACUUUGGCCAACAAAAUGAACAUACGAAGCACAAAACCAGAAACAAAAUCUUUCAUUGUCACCUGUCAGCACCGGUAAAAGCAUCACGCACCUGCAAACUUCAAACAUCUCACUUGACUGAGUCCAAACUCCAAAUCUUUGCAUGGAAAGUAGAAUUGGAUAACAAAAAUGUUCACAGCAUACAAAUAAGAGGGCGCAUGAAGCUAUUGCUUCAAUUUUGCUGCUGAAGAGCGCCCCACUAUUUUCGGAAUCCUCACUGCAACUGCAACUACCACAAUUUCCUUGAAGUGAUUCACAGUAUGAAUUCAUCUCCCAAAGUUUUCCGUCAAAAUUUGAUUCAUUAAGUCGAUGAAUGUAAGUGUCCCCAACGUAGUCCCAAAUUUGCUGCGUUCUUAAAUCUAGAGAAUAGCAAUAUUGUGUAUUUUUCCAACGGCUGAUCGCGUGCUUAUCUUUGCAUCUACAAACCCAAAAAGGAAAAGCUGUAACAAGACAGCCUACCAAACACUAAAAUAUAGACCGAUCAUCAUACACCUUCCACAUCUUCCAAAACCACAUAUCAGACAAACCCAAAGAUAGAGCAAAUUGAGAUGGAGCAGAACGAAAAUAUUCUUCAGGGUUAGUUCACAGAUGGGCAUCCCUGAUGAUGUUGCAAUAUGGAGCCACAUAUGCGAUAAUGUUUAAUUCUCGCAAUCUAAUCAAGUAUGUGCCAUACUUAAAAUCUAUAGCAAUGUAAUUGAACCUUGCAAUAAAAUCAAAGGAAGACCCUUGGCACAUCACUAGCAUUGGAGAAUAUCAUAUUGACUUAUUUUAAACAUAAAGAUUGACGAAUCAAGGAAAGGUAAGUAAGCAUAUGUCCAUUGAUGGAUAAUCCUAUGUGACACUUUUUCAUCUUUUGAUAUAUACUCGAGUUCAAAGUUACUUCUUUGCUACAAAUUUACAUGGAUGGAGCAUUAUCACAAUCAGUGGAAUAUAACUUGAAAUGUGAAAAAUGACCAAGCGCCAUCUUAUCUAACAGCUAGAAGUUUGAGAUCAAAGAUCAGCACUUUGACAUCAUUAUGAUCACCUAUGUCAACAAUGAAUACUUAAGUUCAACACAUAAACUCAAUAAUUUAUGAUUUGCCAGUGCUAUUGCGAUCACCCUUGGAUUCACAAUAAAUUGGACACAAUGGUGAUAGGACCAUUAGAUCAAAUAACCAUAAUGAGACACUGCAGUUAUUCUCAUGUCAAGGUAUAAGAAACAUCAAAAAAUAAGUCCAAAAAGCCACACCAUGGACCUAUUCCAAACAUUAGAAAAUGUCAUAAUCAUUUAAAGUGUUGAUAAAACCUCCAUAUAUAUUUUAAAAUUAACAAAACUAUCCAUGUUUGUAUUGAUCUUGGUAAUCGCAAAAAAGGCAUUUGUGUUUUAGGUACUAUCUAUGUCGAAAGGAUUUUUCUUGUCUAAUAAGAAUUAUUAGACAAAGAAUGAAGAGUUGUGGACCUAAGCAGGUCCUUAAAAGGCUCAAGGAGGAAACAAGCGAGAUAACCGCCCUGAGAUGGGAGUUUCUGCACUGUCCUCCGUAUUCCCUCUUUGUCAGGAAGACAAAGAUAGACAAGGAAUUUCGGGGUCUCUCGGUGGGAAAGGUAGACUCCACGUCAGAGCUUGCUUUGGCUACCGCCGGGUAGAGUGGUAUAAUAGCCACCCGUGCUUGGGGUGAGGGAGGGUGGGUGAAAUGCCCACUGCUGUGUUAGCACGCCUUAUGGCACAGUUCCUAACCACCGGCUAACACAGUACCCCGGUAUAUGUGUGAUAUUAGCAAGUGACCUACAUUGAUGCCAGCAAGUCAAAGGCUAGACAUCAACAAGGCAACAUGCUAGAUAUCAGCAAAGUCCCACAAAAGCUAAGUAUAAGCAUGAAAUUGAUUUACAAGAUUAUUCUUUGAGACAUUUUAUCUCAUUUUUAACAACUUGUGAUUAGGUAUGGAUUGCCUCUUAAGGAAACAUUGAUUGUCUAUCUCAUAGAUUGUCUUAGCAAAAGACUCAAUCCUGUAAGAUAUUUUGAUUGAUUGGCAAUCAUCUUCAAAGGCAAGUUUCUUUCCAUAGUAGAAGCAUUCUAUUUUUUAUAACCAAGGUUUAAUUGUAUGGGCGACCAAAUGAAAAAGCCACAUUUCAUAUUCUUCCCUAAAAUAUAUUUUGUUUUAUCUUUCAUAAUAUAAUCAUCAUUACUAUAUGCAUCUUCUUGUUUAUUUCUCAUAACAAAACGCAUAACCAAUACACUAUCGUCCUUAUGAACUACAUUGUCUACCACAUUAACAUGUCUUAUCUUAUUUUUUAUUUAUUACUAUUAUUAUUAUUAUUUUGUAAAUUGAGGUAUUGCAUUAAACAUCUUAACAAACUUUAUUCUAUUUAGGAAACAAAAAGUAACCAUUUGGUUAAGAUAUAUAUUUAUGACAAUGUAAUUGGUCAAGGUUGUGACAUUGUUGUAUAGUCAGUUCAUACUGUCCAAUCACUAAUGACAGCGACCUAUAACGAGUAUUGCUUAUUAAUUUUCUUUUCUAUAUUUUGUUAUUGAUUAAAUAUGCAAGUCUAGUCAGGUGUGCUGGAUCUCAACUUUCAAUAAAAGCUUCAUGUGCACUUGCUCAAAGAUUUAGAUUUAUGGAUUUUAUUGAUCACAUGUUGUUGGACAAUGUCAAUUACAAAAUUUGGAUUAUUUAAGGUUUGUGCCGAGAUGGUGUGGCAUUAACAUAUAUUCCCAAAUGUGAAACCAAGAUGUCAAAAACUCGGGAAGGGCCAGGAGUUUGUGAAAGGAAAAAGAAGGGACCAAAAUUAUCUUGUUUAGGUCGUGAGAUGGAUUUAACGUAAUGUAUAACUCAAUUAGUUGUUGUGUAAAUAAGAUCGUCAUAAUCAUCCAAUUUGCCCAAACAAGGACAAACAAAUCUUAUCAUAUUUACCAUCAAUCGAUUUUUAAUUAUCUUGACAAUCUAAUAUCUAUAUAGUAGAUUCUUCAGAAUUGUUACUAUAUUAAAUGUGCUAAUAUGCUUGUAACUCCAUUCAAACUAGGAUAUGGAGCCUAAUCCGAGUCCCAUCUUUAGUAAAAUUUUCAUGUCUAAUUUUCAAAGGCCAUUAAACAGCAGAAAAGAAGUGGCUCUGCGUAGAGGGUUUGUAUUCUGGUUUUCUAAUAAAUUAGGUAUCUAUUUCAAAAUUAUAUGCCAAAGAGCAUAUCAUUAUCAUUAAAUGCUGCCGUAAUCUACUUUAUUUAUUUAUUUACUAAAAUUAGUUGGUGGAGAAUACGCACCUCCCGCAUAAUGCCGCGUAAAUAAUAAUCCAAGGAGUAAUGUUUUUGUGAUUGACUCGUGUGUAUUUGCACCGGAAUCAUGGGAUUAUUGCUAUGCUGGUUAGUUUUCUUUUCUAUUUCUCGUAUUAACAGAACAGCAAAGUCAAGUCAACAACCACGAGCAUAGGAUUCUUCCACGCACCUCCUGCAAACAGCUGUGGAAAUUACGCGUGCAUUGAUUGACCUGUGGAAAUUGGCUUUGGUGAGAAUUGAUGGUUGGUCUUCAUUUCUAUUUCUUUAUUAGUAGAAAAAACAAGUCAAGUCAAAAAGCGUAGGAAGGUCCCCGCGCCUGCUGCAAAAUGUAGUGGAAAUUACGCGGGCAAUAGUUGCCCAACAGUUGUCUUUUCUAUUUCUCUUAUUGAUACAAAAGGCAAGGCAAGUCGAGUCAAGGUCCUCGCUUUGGAUAAAUAAAAUGUUUAGAAAUAAAAUAUCAUUAACAUUAUAAAUAUUUGUCAUUAAAUUAAUUAUUUUAAUUAAUAUAAAUAAUCAUUCUAAAGGAUAUAAUGAAAUUAUUUUUUAUUAAUUAAUUAUUUUAAAUGAUACAAGUAAACAUAAUAUUUAUCGUUUCAAGAAUUUACUUGUAUUUCUCUAAAAAAUUAAUCAAUAAAAAAUAUUUUCAUUAUCAAUGAUAAUUUAUGUUUAAAUAUUUUCAUAAACAAUUCAUUUAUUUAUUUUAGUAAGUAAUAUAAAUGAUUAUUUUUAAAAAAUAUUUUUUGAAUUAUUUAUAUUUUAUGGAACAAACGCACGCUAAAAGCUCCAAACAAAUGUUAAACUGAUGUGAUGAAGUAUUAAGGUGCCCUAUCAAGGGCCCCAAACGUUAAAUCCUCGAAGUUGCCAUACAGCUUGUACCUAUCAAAGAAACUCAAAAAAAUCUACCCACACUGAUAUGAACAAGACAAACUGGUGGACUAGAGAGAGCCUUGUAAGAUGAACCAAAGAUAAGGAUGGAAUCUUGAACACCCAAUGAAACAAGAGAUACAGAUAUCACAAGAUAAAGCUCAAAAUUCAUUUAUAAUACAUUUUGUGGUGUGUUUAGGCCAUAGACCGAUCAUAUCUUUCAUUCUCAUUGGAUGCGUAGGAAUCCAAUAUCCUAAUAUAUAAUAUAGGUGCGUUUCAAAGGUUGUGGUCUCCGAAUAUGCAAACAUUUUUUUUUUGCUAAUAAGGUGCUAAUUUGUCUUUACCUUAGUGUGAGUGGAAAUCCAUCACUGACCUCACCAGUAUUUUCCAUGAUCUAAUUUCAAAUAGUAGAAGAUUAAUGUGCCAGUUGAGCCUAGAAAUCCUUGCCCAAGAUCGAUCAUGAUUAAAGAAUAGGAAAAUACUACCAACCCCGGGUCUAUAAGGAGAGAAUUUAUCUUUUGUUUUUUCAUUUAUCUUUUUUAGUUUUUGCCGCACUCUUAGUUAAAUAUUCCUUAAUCUUAUGCAAUUAAAAUAGUUGCGCUCACAUUAAGGACCCAAUUGCACUAUCACUUGAAUUAUUUUCCUAAAAUUAACUAUUUAUAUCAUUUAAAAUAAUUAGCUAAUAAAAAUAUUUUAAUUAUCAAUGAUAAUUUAUAUUUAUAUAUUUUGUAUUUUUUAAAAAGCAAGCAAGACUUUGACUUGACUUGUCGUGCCUUUUCUAUGAACAAGAGAAAUAGAAAAGAAAAUCAAAGGGCAAUUAUUGUCCGCGUAAUUUCCAUUGCAUUUUGCAGAAAGUACCGGGGACCAUCCUCUGCUUCUGGAAUUGAUGUACUUUAUCUACUGAUAAAGGAAAUAGAAAUGAAAACGAACGAGCAAUUCUCCACCAUCUAAUUUCCACAGGGCAAUCAAAUGCACGCGUAAUUUUCACAGCAGUUUGCAGAAGGUGCGUGGAACCAUCCUGUGCUGGUGCUUCUUGACUUCACUAUGCAUUUCUCCGUUAAUAAGAAAGAUAGAAAAGAAAACUAACCAGCAUAGCAAAGCUCCCGUGCUCUCGGCGGUAAUUUAAACGAGUUAAUAAAAACAAAUCACUUGUCGGAUUAUUAUUUCCGUGGUAUUAUGCGGAAGGUACGUACUCUCCGCCAACUAAUUUUAAUAAAUAAAUAAAAAGAAAAUAGAUUGCAAUGGCAUUUAAUGAUGAUGAUAGGGUGCACUGGAAAGGAAAGUCAGAAAUUUUUUCCUUUUUUCUUUUACCAAUCUUUCUUUCAUCUAAAUAAAUUACUAACUCAUUCAUAUAUAUAUUUAGAUGAUGAAGAAACCUUCCGAUUUCCAUUAUUCAUAUUCGGUUCAUUUCCUUUAGAUAUUUUGCCUCCCAAGCAAGUAAAUAUCCAGGAGCUCACUAAUUCCAUCAAUUCUUGCUACACUUCUCGAUCCUCAAAAGAGUCUGAACCAAUGUUUAUCAUUUGUCUAGAAGUUUGAUCCUCAAAAGAGUCUGGACCAAUAUUUAUCAUUUGUCUAGACAACUUAUAUAACAGACAAACUGUUCUCCUCCUAGAUAUCUAGGAUUUCUAAUUUUUUCUUUUCUUUUCCUCGGGGAGGGAUUCACCCAUCGGCCAUGCCCACCAAUUAUUAGAAGCAUCAUUAGGAAAAAAAUAAAUGCGCCCUACUAUGCGACAAAGUUACAUUCCAUAUUCUUCCUUAAAAUAUAUUUUGUUUUAUCUUUCACAAUAUAAUUAUUAUUAAUCCAUUGUUUGUUUUUUUUUUGUAACUAAACACAUAACCGGUACGAUGUCGUUCUCAUAAACUACAAUGUCCAUCAUAUCAUAAUGUCUUGUUAUGUUUUUCUGUUUUUUUAUUUUUAUUUUCGUUUGUAAAUUGAGGUAGUGUAUUGAACAUCAUUUAGUUAUGGUGAUAUAGUUUAAUAGUGUGAUUGGUCAAGGUCCUGAUAUCAUUGUAUAGUUAGUUCGUACUAUUCAAAUGCUAACGAUAGAGACCUGUAACGAGUAGUGCUCGUUAUUUUUUUUUAUAUAUUUUGUUAUUGAUGAAAAAUGCAAGUCCAAUCAAGUGAGCUGGAUCUCAAAUUUCCAUCAGAGCAUCACUUGCACUUGCUCAAAGCUUCAAGUCUAUGGAUUUCAUUGUUUGCACGUUGUUGUAGGAUGUCAAUCGGAAAGUCCGGAUUAAUUAAGGUUUUUAAAGAGAUGGUUCGGCGUUAACAUGUAUUCCCAAAUAUGAACCCAAGAUUCCGCGAACUUGGGUGGGGCCAACUACAAUGUCUUGUGAGUUUGUGAAAAGGAAAAAGAACAUUUUUGAUCAAAAUCAUCUUGUUUAUGUCAUGAAAUGGAUUUAACAUAAUGUAGUAAAUCAAUUAGUUAUUAAUCGUGCUAACAAGAUUGUCAUAAUUUUGUCCAACUUGCCCAAGCAAGGACAAACAAAUUUUCCCGUAUUUACUAUCACUUCAUUUUUAAUUGUCUAGAUAAUAAAAAAGCCAUAAAUUGUAGAUUCUUCACAAUUUUUACUAGAUUAAAUGUGCUAACAUGCUUGUAGCUCCAUCCGAACUCGAACAUAGAGUUUCACCCGAUUCCUCUCUUUAGUAAAAUUUCCACAUCUAAUAUUCAAUCGGCAUUAAACAGUAGGAACGAAGUAGUUAUAUGCACAAAUUUGAUAGUUGUAUUACGAUUUUAUGAUAAAAUAGGUAUAUUCUUCAAAACUAUAUGCCAAUAUGCAUAUCAUCAUCAUUAAACACUACAGCAAUUUACUUUUUUUAACUUUAUUAAAAUUAGUUGGCGGAGAAUACGCACCUUCCACGUGAUGCCGUGAAAAUAAUGAUGCAAUGAGUGAUGUUUUUGUGCUCAUGUAUAGUGGCACCGGCGGCAUGGGAGCAUUCCUAUGCUGGUUAGUUUUCUUUUCUAUUUCUCUUAUUAGUUGGAAAAAAAAGGCAAAGCAAGUGAAGAAGCACCAGUAUUGCAUGGUUCCACGCACUUUCUGCAUAACUGCUGUGGAAAUCACGCGUGCAUUGAUUGCCUUGUGGAAAUUAGAUCGUGGAGAAUUAAUCGUUGGUUUUCAUUUCUAUUUCUUUUAUUAGCAGAAAAAGCAAGUCAAGUCAAGAAGCAGAGGAUGGUCCCUGACACCAUCUGCAAAACGCAGUAGAAAUUACGCGGGCAAUGGUUGCCCUUUGGUUUUCUUUCCUAUUUAUCUUAUUGAUAGUAAAGGCAAGGUAGGUCAAGUAAAAUGUUGACAAUUAGUGGAGGUCACAGCGGCAGGUGAGCAGUCAUAAGCGUCAGGGGGGAAUUAUCCAUCGAGCACGCCCACUAAUUACUAGAAGCACCGUUAGAAAAAAAAGAUACACACUUUACGAUGUGAAGAAGGAAUUGCAUUUCAUUUUCUUUCCCAAAACUUUAAUUUGUUUUAUCAUUGCUAUUUAACCUUUGUUUCGUGCAUACACUUAUUUAUUUCUUAUAUAAGGAUACAUGUAAUUGGUAAAAAUGUCAUCCUCGAGAACUACAAUGUCCACUAUAUUACCAUGUCUCAUUUUUCUUUUUCCAUUUGUACUUUGAGGUGGUAAAUUAAAAAUGUUAACAAAAACAAAUUCUACUCAGGAGUCAAGUCAAGUGUGAUGAAUCUCAAAUUUCGAUCAAAACGUCACACAUUUGGUAGAAAUUUCAAAAUCUAUGGAUUUCAUUAUUUACAUGUUAUGGUAGUAUGUCAAUCGGAAGGUUUGAAUUAUUUAAGAUUUACACAAAAAUAAAUCUAACAUAAGGCGACAACUCAAUUAGUUCUUAAUUAUGCAAAUGUCGUGAUUGUCCAACUUGCCCAAGUAAUAACAAACAAACCUACCCAUAUAUACUAUCAAAUCGUUUUUUUUAAUUUUCUCGAUAAUCUAAUAAUCAUUGGGAUAUAGGGUCUCAUCCGGUUCUUGUAUUUCGUAUGAUGUCUACAUCGUUUCUUCAAUUGACCGUAAACAAUGAUGAAGCGACUCUACACACAUGAAUUUGGUGGUCGUCUUCUGCUUUUCUGAUAAAAUGGGUCCCCCCUUCAUAACUAUACGUCAAUAUGACAUGAUGCUUCCUAUAAAGAAAGAGGGAGGGAGAGAGAGAGAGAGAGCGCAUUAUCGCAAUCUGCACAAUCGGAAUUGAUUGUUGCUUUUCGGUUCUAUUUCUUUAUUCAUAAAAAAAAGUAAGUCAAGUCAAAAAGCACACGUACCUUCGCAUAAUGCUGGUGUGCAAUAAUUAUCCUGUCCGUAGCAUGCGAGACAGAGCAUUAUUGCAAUCUACACAAUCGGAAUUGAUUGUUGCUUUUCGAUGCUAUUUCUUUAUUCACAAAAAAAAAAAGCGAGUCGUACCUUCGCAUAAUGCUGGUGUGCAAUAAUUAUCCUGUCCGCAGCACGAGAGAGAGAGAGCAUUAUCGCAAUCUACGCGAUCGGAAUUGAUUGUUGCUUUCCGAUGCUAUUUCUUUAUUCACAAAAAAAAAAAAGAGAGUCGAGUCAAAAGGUACACGUACCUUUGCAUAAUGCUGGUGUGCAAUAAUUAUCCUGUCCGCAGCACGUGACUUGAGUUGUUGGAUGGCAAGUCAGCAUUAUGUGCUCUUUUGGACGAAUCUCCUUUGAAAUAAAAAGAAGAAGAGCAGAUUUUGGAUUGAAAAUAAUGAAUUGUCCUUAUUCGAAUAUCUAAACAAAGUGUCCUACUGACAUUUAUGUUAUAAUAUGUUUUUGUGAUUGACUCAUGUAUAUUAGUAUUGACAGCAUGGGAGUCUUGCUGGUUAGUUUUCUUUUCUUUUUCUUUUAUUAAUAAUAGUUAAAAAAGCAAGUCAAGUCAAAAAACACUUGCAUAGAAUGGCCCCACGCACCUCUAGGUUCCCGUACCUACCGCGUAAUGCCGGGGGUAUUAUCAAACAGCAUUUUCUUUCAUUUUAAGUACUUAAAAUAGUCUGAAAUUCAGUACUAAAAAAUUUCAGUAAUUAUUUACCAGUUUUAUCUAAACGGGCAUGUACUCGCAGCUUAUUUUUCACAAAUGAAUUAAGUUCAGCAUUGGCUGAAAAAAAAAAACAAGUUGAUGCAAGUUGAAAAUCGAGUUCUAUCGCAUAAGGUUCGACUUGAAAUUACCAAUGCAAUCAUUUACUUUAAGCCAUCAGAGUACAAUGCUUAAUAUAUUUUAGAUCUUAACAGCUUAUUUGGUUUGAUUUCUAGCUUUUUCUUGACAACAAAGCAUAGAUGAAGUAUGUUAAUCCGCAUAUCAACAAAUUCUCCACUAAUGCAAAAUAUCAGCAAGACACAAGUCUCCAAAUACGAAAGAAUUUAUGCUUACAAAUAUGAUGAAUCAACACAAAUUGCGUACUUAGGCUCCAUAUACUAAUUUUUACUUUCUAUUCUCUCGCACCUCUCGUAGUCGAACUUUUGCUUAACAAAAAUUAUUUAAAUGAUUCAAAAUAUGUAGAUACUCUCACGUAGAAAAUUAUACAAUUAUGUUUGUAAUUUAACUUGAAGAAUGUACAUAUUUAAAAUUUUUCAAAUGUAGAACAUCAAUUAUAUUUUUAAGUGCAGCCCAAAUUUUUAUCAAAGGGCCGCAUACCAAAAUUUUCUUUUAUUCUGAAAGAGGUAAUGCACCUGAUUAGUCAUUAGAGAAAAAGGCCAAAGCAUGGAGCCGCCUCAGUUAGCGCUGUCGUCGAGCGUUGCAUAUUCCCCAUCUCCUUUUUCAGAAGCCAAAAGAAAUCGCCCCGAACGUCAAACCCGCCCACUCGCCUCGGUCAGGGAGAGCACGUGAACUCGCUCGGACCGCGCGCCACGUGAGCUCGAGGGGGCAAUUCGGUACAUUCCGAGUGGCCGAAGAUAUUCCUGAGAUGCGAGGUGGGGACCACGCGUUGGCUUCGGUUUCUGAGCAGCUGACCGUCGUAGCGGUCGAGCAACGCGGAGAGGAGGAGCGGCGUGGGUCCGUGUGAAGAGACAACCUAAGCAGAAUCCACGAGGUAAAUUUCUACUCAUUUUUCGUGGAUACAAGUCUUCGUCUAGUUGCUUUAGGGUUUCCACCAUUACUUAAGGCCUCAGCUUGCAUAGCAGAGUUUAUUCUUACCGAUCUAGCAAAUUCAUCCAUCAAAUUUCCAUAAUUGUUUCGGCAAACACAACUUAUUGCUCCGAUCGUCAUUCCGGGCAAAAAAGUUCUAUUUAUAUUGAUUUUGAGGGUGUCUUCGCUUGGGCCAAACUAGAUCUGAGGUGAGGCUUCUUCGCCUUUUCCCAACUGUUGAAGCACUAAUUUUUCGCCAUGGUUGAGCUUAUAAGGUGCUUCGGAUUUGGCUUUAGUUUGCGGAAAACAAAGUAAUUUCUUUCUUUCCAAAUACGCCAGAGGAUAGAUGCAAGGAGGUCGAAACAUGCAGAGGAUGAUUGAAUUUAAGUAACCAUUCAUCUAUUCGACCAAGUCUAUAAGGUGAGAUCUUAAUUUGUAGUGCAGGAUCCAUCCAAAUUUGAUUCGUGCAAGGGCAAAGUAAGAAGAGGUGCUCUACCGUUUCUGGGUUCUGUUUACAUAAAUCGCAGGUACUUUCUUCCACUAUACCUCUCUUUUGUCGAUUUUCUUUUGUCGGCAAUGCGUUUUGACAUAGUCCCCAUAAGAAAAAUUUGAUUUUCGGGCUUGUCUUAGCCUUCCAGAUCUUUAUCCAAAGAGAUCUAGGGAUUUGGUGAGAGGUAGAGGCUGUGGUGUUAUUGUUCUAUUCUUCCUUCUCUUUGAUUCUAUUAUACCCACUUUUAAGAGUAUAGUCUUGUGCUUUUGUUUGUCCAGCAUAAUUUAUCCUCCUUUGCCUGGGAAUCAAUGGGAUUGUUAGAAUUUCAUUAGCUGUGUGCUCAUCGAACAAGGUCCCAAUAAAUUGUCCAUUCCAAGCUGGGAUAUCUCUGUGAAUAAGCUGGUUCAUCCCUGUUUGCGGGUCUUCCUAUAACUCCUUUGGGAAGCCAUUUUGUCUCUCUGAUAUUAAUCUUUUCCCCAUUCCCUGCUAUCCAUUUUACUGAAGGAAGAAUCUCGUCUUUGCUCAUUAGAAGAUUUUGCCAGAACCAUGAAAGUCGAUACCCCUUUGCAGUUGACCAAAAUUCAGAAUGAGGGAAUUAUAGACUUUUAGUAAUUGGCACCACAGUGAUGAAGGAUUUUGCAUCAUACGCCAUGCUUGUUUACCGAGCAUGGCUUUGUUGAAGGCAAUUAAAUUUCGAAAUCCCAAACCUCCAUUGUCUUUCCUAUGCUUAAGAAUGUGCCACUUCUUCUAGUGUAUUCCAGAUUUUUGUUCAGCAGUAUUCCAUAAAAGGGUCUCGAACGGUUGGACGGCAAUAACUCAGCAUCGUUCAAGCAAGCACGGGAGAGUGUUGAGCGUAGUUUAUCCAAGGUUGAAGGCUGAGAACCGGCAGAGAUCACAGUAGUAGGUGAAUUGUGUUGUUUGAGCACCCUUCAGGUAAUCGAUUGCUCCAUUUUCUUUUGAUGAGUUUCGAUUUGAGUUCUUGGAGACAUUUUUGCAUUCCGAGAUCUGGACUGUGAAAUCUAGACUUUUUUUCUUCAAGGCUCUGCUCGAUCGAUGUCCUAUUCGGUCAAUUAGACUUCAUUUCUGUUUGAAUUUAGCUACGAAAUGAGCUGUGACAGACAUUUCAGCAAUUCCCGAAUCUGGGAUUCCGUAUUUCUCUUUGCUUUCUGCUUUUCUUCGGGGCUGUGCUCCAUCAAUCUCUUCCAUUCCCUUUAUAGGUGAUUACAAAGGCGGAGCCUAAAAGAUUCGAUAUGUGGGGACAUUCAGAAGAUCCGAAUUGCGGGGCUUCUUCCUCAUCGACUUCUCCAACUGUAGGUGAUUAUGAAGGCAGAACCAAAAAGACGAAAAGAAACGACUACGAAGUGUUCUUGAGCUUUAGAGGGAAGGAUACUCGCAAUGGCUUCACCGAUUAUCUCUAUACUAGUCUUGUUGAUGCAGGAAUUCAUGUGUUCAGAGACGACAAUGAGCUUUGUGUUGGUGAGGUGAUUGGACCGGAACUUUUUCGCAGUAUUACACAAUCUAAGAUCUCCAUCCCGAUUAUCUCAGAGGACUAUGCAUCCAGCAAAUGGUGCCUUCGCGAGUUGGCUCUUAUGUUGAAUUGCAAGAGAAACAAAGGGCAAAUGGUGUUACCCAUAUUUUACAAAGUGGAACCUUGGCAAGUGAAGCAUCUCACAGGGAGAUUUGGAGAUGCUAUCGAUACACAUAAAAAGAAUUUGGAAGAAAAGAUUGUGAAGGAAUGGGAAGAAGCACUCAAAGAAGUCACUUCCUUGAAAGGAUUGGAAUCGGAGAAAAUUGAUAAUGGGUACAUUAUUCACCACCACAACAUUGUUUACUUUCUCAUAACUAGAUCUUACUUGAAAAAUAAUACAAAUAUUUCCAUUUUAUUGAAAUUUUUAUUGUUGUUCGACAGGCGUGAAGGAACAUUGGUUAAAAUAGUUGUCAGAAAAGUUAUGAGUAACUUAAAGGAAUUGUUUUUGCUAAAUGUUCCCAAACAGUUGGUGGGAAUUGAUGAUCAUGUGGAGCAUAUUAUGUGCUUCAUAAAUGCUAAAUUUAGUGAUACAAGUGUUAUUGGAAUCUAUGGAAUGGGCGGCAUCGGUAAGACAACCCUUGCGAAGGUGUUGUACAACAAGCUUUUGAGUCAUUAUGAGUCUCAUAGCUUUGUGGCAGAUAUCCGAGAAAAAAUAAAGCUCAAGGGUUUUGAAUGCAUACAAAAGCAGCUCAUUUAUGACAUAAGUGGAGGCUUACGUGAUGUGUCUAAUGUCGAUCACGGAAUCAAUAUCCUUAAAUCUCGAUGUAUAAAUAAGAAAGUACUCAUUCUUCUUGAUGACAUGGAUGAUAAUACUCCCUUGAAUGCUUUGGUCGAAGACGGUAGUUGGUUUAAAGCUGGAAGCAUGGUCAUCAUCACCACUAGAGAUAAGAGUAUUCUUGACAAGGUUGGGGUAAGAUACAAGUAUCAACUCAACGAGUUGCUUUCAGAUCAAUCAUUGGUUUUAUUUAGCAGACAUGCAUUUCGAACGGAUUCUCCUCCAAGUGAUUAUUGGGUUAUCUCUCGUGAUAUUGUAUCUACUACUGGGGGGCUUCCUUUAGCUCUUGAAGUUAUUGGUUCAUUCUUAUGUGGAAAGACAAAAGAAGUAUGGAAAGCUACAUCAAAAAAAUUAGAGAAAGUGCCUAAUAAGAAAGUGCAAGAGAAGUUGAGAAUAAGUUACGACGCAUUAGAGUAUGAGGAGCAACAGAUUUUUUUGGAUAUAGCAUGUAUUUUUAGUGGACUUUGUACAGAAGAUCUGACUUAUAUGUGGGAUGCGUGUGGUUUUUUUCCGGAGAAGGGGAUUGAAGUAUUGAGUCUUAUGUCCCUAAUUAAAAUUGAUGGAGAUGGCAUUCUAAUGAUGCAUGAUCAGCUGAGAGAUUUUGGAAGGGAAAUUGUUCGCCAAGAGAAUCAAAGGGAACCUCAAAACCGUAGCAGAUUAUGGAAUACUAAGGAAGCCGCAGAUGUGAUUUACAAUAACAAGGUAAGAUUUUAUCUACAUCUCUCAGUUAGUGAAUGUGAGCCCAUCUUCUCUUUUAUGUUUUGAGAUAAAAAAUUAUUGGCAAUCUGGAGCCCCUAAAACUUCUUCUACUAGCAAAAGAGCUCUUCCGGUUAAUUGCUUAUGUUGUUUUUGCCUGACUCUUUUGAACAUAAUUGAGGACCAAUUUCUUGGUUGUUGAUGAAUUAUAUAUACCUCUAUCUCGUAGUAUUGUGAUGAGGACCCUCUCCUUUGUAACUUCAAUGCAACUAAAAAAUUACAAAAGCAUAAUAUUUGACAGAGCAUUUUCAAAGAAAAGCUGAUUUUCUAUAAAUUGUUGGCGGCCAUGCUUUUCCCACGUACAUGUUUAAUGCACAUCCAUGAUGUUUGGAUUUUUUCUUUGAUUUCUUGUGAGGUCUUUGCAUCCUUUUUAUCUUUUACUGAGUAUUGAGUUUCUUAUGGGUUGUUUGCUAUGAUAAAUGAGACUUCCAUUCAUUUAUGGUGACUAGCUAUCUUAGUCCCGUAUUUUUUAGAAUUGGGUUAAGUAUAGUUUUCGUCUCCUAGAUAUUACUAUUUAUGUGAUUUAGUCCCCUAUCUAUUUUUUUUUAUUAUAAAUAUUAUAGUCUUUUGUCUUUCGCAAUUUAUGUAAUCAUGUUCUUUGUCUUCAACCAUUAGUCACCACCAUGAUAUGACUUUCAUAUUUAUUUAAGAUAUAUGCGCAACCUUGCAAUGUAACCCUCUAAACAAAUAUUAUUUUCGUUCCAUAGACUUUCUAUAACAGUGCAUAUAUUUUUUCUAUGAAUUUGCUACUAUUAUAUUUUAAUUUUCUGACAAUGUAUAAUAUUUCUAUUAAUCCCCUAAUAACAUUUAUUUGUCAAAUAUUCACUAUCAUCCCCUAAUAAUCACUUCUUCAUAGCUCAACUCUUGGUGAGCAUCUUAUUUAACAAAAAGAUUUACUUAAUUUUAUAUCAUCAUUUGUUAAAUAUGGGCUAGCAUGUGACUUAAUUCUUGUAUCGAUUUUUUAUUUACCAAAUAUUGACUGCCACAGUAUAAUAAAUAUUUCUACAUCGUUCAACUCUUAGCAAGCAGUUAAUUUAGCACAUAUUUAAUACAUUUCUAUCAUUUAAUUGUUAAAUGUGAGCUGUCAUGUUAUAAUUUUUUUUUGGACGUUAUUAUAAUUUACUUAUAAAAUAUGACAAAAUAUUUUCUUCUUUUUUGGUAAGGAUAUGACAAAAUAUUUUCUCAUAAUGAGUAUUGCUAAAACUUUUAAUCAUAACAGCCAUCACUUAUUAUACAUCUCGUUAUACUUAUUAUUGAAGUUUAUGUUGUCAUGUAAUAAAGUCCUCUUAACAUAUAUUAUUUUUUCUUCUAUGAUGGACAAUUUUAUUAAUUCAUCUACCUGUAAAGCAUGUUUAUUUUUUUAUUGGUGAUGAUGGUUACUUUUUUAGUCAUAAUGGGACACCUUUGCAAUCACAAUAGUUGUCACUAGUAACAUUUGAAAAUAGUUUUAGAUGGAAGUAAUAGAGCCAUAAGUUUCUGCUGCGCACUCUAGUCUCAGUAUCUCGAUUUUCUCUAUUAGUCUUAAACUUGACCAAUCUGCAAAAAUUAAAGGUGGUCAGCGACUUACACUCAUCCAUCAUAUACGAAUGAAAUGCUAUAUCGCUCUGAUCCAUUUCUCUCUAGCUCUUCCCAUUUCAUGUGUCUUGAUUGGUUUAAGGAAUGAGUUGGAUACAUGUCAAAUGAUUGAUGAAAUAAUUGGUAACUAAGCAAAAGCACCCCGCAAACAUACUCAUGCAACUCACCAUCUCACAUUCUUCUUUUGAUCAAUGCAUAUUUUUUCUUUUUUCUCUUUUUUAAAAGCUCAUCCACAAAGGUAGUCUAUUCAUAUUGAGUUAAUUACGUAUUCACAUUCUACUUAAUCCUCCAAAAUACGAGAAAUUACAUUACAGUAGACUUCUACUGCUAUUACGAUCUUCGACACUUGAUAAAUAGAGAAUCUAAAUAAUAUUUUCUUGCAUUUAUAAAGAGGACACUAUACAAAGAAGUUAUCACCAAAAAAGAAAAACAGAAGAAGAAGAAGAAGCAAGAGAUGUUGCAUAAAGAAGUAUGUGUUAUUAAGAAAUAAAAAUAAGGAAGUGGAAAGACAAAUGGAAGUAACGAAGGAAUGUUAAUAAAUAGUUAAAUUAUUUGUCGAAAGGGACGAUCUGGAAGUUCUUUCAAUUUUAGGAAUAAAUGUGAGAAGGUCAUUCCUGGCGGAUGCGAAAUGGAAAACAUUCUAUAUUUUACCAAUAAAGAUUACACAUGAGUCGCAUGUGAAUAGAGGCAUUUCUCCUUUGUUUUAGGUUGCUAGAGGAUUGUUGAGUUAUGACUAAUGACAUAGCUCCAAGGAUUUCUGAUAUGAAUUUCAUCUUUAGCAAAAAAAGGAAAUUGUGUAGCAGAAUUUUAGUGUACGCGUGAAGUUGAGUUUCAAUAUGGUUGGAGAUACUUGUUCAAAAAAUUCUAAACCUAAUAUAACGGCUAAUUCAUUUUCAAACUUUUAAAUACGAUUAAGGCCACUAUUUUUUUCCUCAAUGCAAUCCUUUAUCUUUCACAAUUUGGGCAAUCGAGCCCUUUGUUGUCAAGUGUUAGUUAACACCGUCAAUUUGCCAUGUGGCUUUUAAAAUUAUUUAUGAUGUGUAAAUAUUAUUUUCGUCCUAUAGGCUUUUCGUGGUGGUAGUUUGUCACAUUAUUUUCGUCCUGUAGACUUUUCGUGGUAGUAAUUCGCUUGUGACAAUGGAUAAUUUUUCUAUUAAUCCCAUUUCUUUGGCAAAUAUAUGCUGGCAUGAUUUAGUUGAUGAUUAUAUCAUUAUUUGUUAAAUAUGUACUAUCGUGGUGAAUAAGUUUUUUAUCCAUUUUUGGGAAAAUUAUCUAGAGAGUCUUAAACUUAUUGUAUUUUUACCAAUUCAGUUAUAAACUUUUCAAUUUUGUCAAUUCAGUUCUAAACCUUUUCACUUCUUGCUAAUUAAGCCUGUCUAGUUAAUUUUGGCUGAAAAUUGCUAACGUGGCCGGUUGGUGCUAAUAUUUUUUUUUUGUUACUUUUUUUUCUUGGUUUGUAGUUAGGGCCGGUAAGGGUUACUGGCCAACCCUUGCCGGCUUGAUUGAUCCUCGUUGGCCCUGGGGGAGGGCUGUGACGCCCUCAUCGACAAAAGCGAGGGCUCAAGCCCUCACUGGAUUUGGCCAAGCAAGGGUGGUGACCUUGCUCGGGUGCUUGGGGCCCUCGCCUGGCCAAAUCUAGCAAGGGCAUCGCGGCCCUCGCCCACGGCUGACGAGGGUCGGCCGGUAACUGUCACUGGCCCUAACACCAAACCCAAAAUUAAAGAAGAGAAAAGUUAAAAAAAUUCAAAAUUCAAAAUUAAAAAAAAUGGCACAUCAGCAAUUUUCAGCCAAAAUUGGUCAGAUGAACUCAAUUGGGAAGAAAUUAAAAUAUUUAGGAUCAAAUUAAUAAAAUUAAAAGGUUUAUGAAAAAAUAUAAUAGAUUUAAGACUUUUUGAACAAUUUUCCCCCCAUUUUUUAUUUGUCAUAAAUUGAUACCACGUUACAAUGCAUAUUUCAACAUCCUUCAACUCUUAGUAAGCUUUUUAUUUAGCACAUAUUCCGUACAUUUAUAAUAUUAACUUAUUUAAUAUGAGCUAUCAUGUUAUAUUUUAUUUUAUUGAUUUGUUAAUAUGAUUCACUUAUGAAAUAAACGGAAUGUUUCUCAUGUUAAGUAUCUAUAGAACUUUUUAAUCUUGAUAACCAUCACUUGUAUGUAUGUAGUCAUAUAACAGAACACUCUAACAAUAUAUUCUUUUUCCUUCUUUCAUGGACAAUUUUAUUAUAUUCACCUAUUGUAAAGCAUGUUAACUUUAUGUUAUGAUAGAUAUUUCUAGUCACAAUGGCUAUCCACACACCCUUUCAAUCAUAAUAGUUGUAAUUUAUUAUACAUUUCGCUAUACUUGUUAUAGAAUUAUAGUCAGUCAUAUAAUAGAUGCAUGUUUAUGUUUAUGUUUAUGUUCUGAUAGAUAUUUCUAGUCACAAUGGCUAUCCACACACCCUUUCAAUCAUAAUAGUUGUAAUUUAUUAUACAUUUCGCUAUACUUGUUAUAGAAUUAUAGUCAAUCAUAUAAUAGACGCCUCUAGACAUAUACUUGUUUUCUUCUUUGAUGUUUUAUUUUAUUUAUACUAUUUAUAAAGCAUGACAUAUAUAAAUUGUGAUUACGGAUAAUUACAAUUUAAUAUAUGAAUUUUAAACAUUUAAUAAUUAAUUUGUGGUCGAGAUUUAAGCUUAAUCAUAUGGUAUGUGAUCAUACGAACAUAACUAUUUUUUAUUAAAUAAUUAAUAGUACGAUUGACAUAAUAAUUAUAGCACAAUUAAGCAUUAACUAAUAUAAUUAGUAAUUAAGAUGAUCAUUUUAUUAUGAACAUAUAAUAUUAACUUAUGAAAAAUUUAGAUAACCAUAUCUAAUAAGGAGCCACUAACAUUGUGCUAAUUAGUAUAUUAUAAAUAUUUUUUAACCUAAUAACUGAUAAUGAAUAAUCAAGAUAACAUUAUCACUAUUUCAUCAACUAUUUGCCUAUUAAUUAACAUUCUAUUUAUUAAUGAUAUGAUAUGUGAUUAAAGUCAAGAUAAGUAUAAUUGAUGUUAUCAUUACAUAAUUACCACAAAUGAUUUUAGUUAUAAUUAAUAUGUACGUUGAUUAUAGUCAAUAAUAUAAUAUUGAUAGGGUUAGAGAAAAAAAAAAAAGACGUGUAUUUUGGAAAUAGCUACUGUGGCCCUGUAGUAAUAGCUAUUACACAACGGGGUGAUAGUUAUUACAAUUUGGCAACGAUAACUUUCAUUGCUAGUAGAUAUUGUAUACUAUAACAGUCAUUACUGCAACCAUGUGUUGUAAUAAUCUAAACGUACUCUGAUAAUCCAUUGCUAUAAAAUAUAUAUGUAAAUAAAGCGUAUAAAUGUGUAAAACUAAAAGGCACUGGUUAUUUGGUAAUCACAUACUUACAUUCUAAUUAAUCCUAAAAAAUUACGUGACACUAGAUUAUUGUAGAAAAUGCAAAGUCUUAAAUCUUGUGCAUAGCACAAGAAUUCUACUACUAUUAGGAUUUGCAACACUAGAAAAAUAGGGAAUCUAAGACGUAAUAUAAAGAAGUUGUCACCCAGAAAAAAAAAAGCUGCAUAAAGAAGUAUGUGUUAUUAAUAAUAAUAAAAAAGAAGUGGAAAUACAAAUGUAAUUAACUAAAGAAUAUUAGCAUAUAGUUGCAUAAUGUGUCGACGGGGACAUGAUGUGGAAGGUCAUUCAAUUUUAAGUAAAUGGGUGUUGCAUGUGAGAAGAGGCAUUUCUCCAUUUUUCUAGUUAGCCAGAAAAUUUUUUGAGUUAUGAGUAAUGGCAUAGCUCCAAGGACAUAUCUAUUGUGUAUAUAUAUAUAUAUAUAUUUUUUUUUUUUGGCACCCAGAGAAUCUUCGUGCGCCGCUUCGCGGCGGAGUAAACCCUGAAGGAGCAGUAGAGUCAUCAUUACCCUUGCUGCUUCGGGUAAGUCGUGGGUUCCUUUCUCGCAAGGCAAACAAUGCAGCUAAUCGAACUCAUGAUCUCUCUCGAAAGGAACCUGCGCUCAACCAUUACGCCGUCAUCAUGGGUGGUCAUAUCUAUUGUAUUUUGAUCUUUAAAAAAGAAAGAAUUUAUGUGCAAGACAAUUUAUUGUAUAAGUGAAGUUGAGUCUGUUUAAAAUUUCAUGUGGUCAUGCAAUGUAUUUAAAUGUAGAAAGAAGAUGAAUAGCAAAUCACAUAACAUACUAUUUCAAAAUAAAUACCUUCUAAAUUACUAUUAAAAAUACGAAGAAACUGGUCUAUUCAAACUUACCCUAAAAAAAAUGGUGUAUGUUAAUGUAAACAUAAAAGAAGUAAAUAAUAUUUAUUGAUACCACUAAGUGCAAAGAAAGAAAAGAACUAAACAUAAUACAUGAACGCUAGAUAAAGUCAUAUACAAAAUAUGCCACUAAAAAUGCGAAGAGUAUCUGGUCUAAGUAUGUAACUUCCAAGGAAAGCAUCUAUUCAUCAAAAUAUGAAUAUUGUACUAUUUGUUAAAUGUCAUUUUUAGAAGAGAAAUGUCUUUUCAUGCAAUAGUGAAGUCAACGACAUUAAUUGAUGGGUACUUCUAUUUUAUAUUCGAGAAAUUAGAGAAAUGCUAGUAGAAUAACAAACGAACCAUAUAAAUAAUCACCGGAGCCUAACUAAUCAUUAAAAAAUUCGAAAAGUGAUGCAUCUUUAAAUGUAAUACUUUGAAUGGGCACGUUCAUUAAUGAGGGUAUGGAUGGGAGCUCUACUUAUGUAUGUUAUUUAAAAUAAACAUACUAUUUUCAUGAAGUAAAUAAUAUUAGCAAUAUAUUAUUUGGAGAUCCUAUUUUUAUCAUUCAACAAAUUGUGUAUGGUCAAUCAUAAAGACCAUAAAAUAUUAAACUUGGAAGUUAGGUAUUUUAACGAUACAUACAUGACCUUAUUUUUAUAUAGAGAAUUGUCAAAUAUUACAUUUGUAUGAUAACAUAGCUUUACACUUAAUGAUAAUUAGUAAUAAAACUAAGCAACUUCAAAACCAUAUGCUUGCACAUAAGUAAUAUUAACAUAAUAUGAUUAAUCUUCAUGUCCAAUAUGUCUGUUAGCAAGGUCUUGUUAAUCUAUGGGCAAAUUGGUAAAAAAUUAGAUGAUUGCUAUUGCUUUGUAACAAAAUCAACACGAAAUGAACAGAUAGCAUUAAACAUCUAAAGUAAUAAAAAGAGAAAUAAAAAUCAUUUAUAUAACAUUUGAUAUAUGUUUUCUUCCACACGUAAUGAAAAACACUCGUUGAAAAAACAAAUGAUAAGAAAGGAAUGUAAAAUACGUGUACUUCUUGGGAUGGAAUUCUUAUUUUCAUUUUGCUAUUGAGAAUUGCAAACAAGAUACAUAAGAAAAAGAGGGGGAUUCUACAAUUGGGAUUCUUGAGUAUUGAUACAUGUUUUGAUGGCAAGUUUGAUGGAUGUAUUUGAAUUGUAAGAACCAUGUUAUUUCGCAUAUAAAGAAUAUGAAUUAGGGUUUUGUUGUUUCCCAAAUAAAGGGCAUGAGAUUUGAUAGAUAUAUUUGAAGCAGAGUGUGCAUGAAGAGAGACCUUCUAUUGUAAUUUUGAAAGGAUGCAACUUUUGGAAAUUUAAAACGUGCAAAUUGUGAAGGGCAUAAUUGGUAGAGGAAAAUUGGGGGACCCCCUCUUGAGCUUCACAUUUUUAUAUAGAUUAGAUAAGGAAUAUGUAACCACAAUCUAUCAUGUCAUGAAGUCGAAGGUGAGAACCCCACAUCAUUAUAGUACGACAACAUAGUUGAAAUAAUACAUCUUUUCUUGUAUAUAGUUAGUCUCAUCCCAUCAUCCAAUAAUAUGAUCCACAAUGUUUUUCAAUUCUAGGGCACAAGUAAAAUUGAGGCCCUUUGUCUCGACAAAGAUGAUGGGAGAGAAAGCUACACGGUUGAAAACUUUAAACAAUUGACCAGCUUGAGGUUCCUUAAAUUGAGCGGAGUGAACAUCACUGGAGAUUUUCACAACUUUCUUCCUCAAUUAAGAUGGCUUGAAUGGGAUAAUUGUUGCUUGGAUUUUGAAGAGGCUAACUUUCACCCAAAGAAAUUAAUCGUGCUUGACUUGGGGGAUAGUCAGAUUUCGGAGGACUGGGGAGGAUGGGGCCCAAUAAAGGUAAGAUGUAGAGAAGGCAUAUCUUUUAAAAAUAACCAUGUGUUAUCAACGGCCCCAAUUGUACCAAGUUCUCCUUUAUUUCUUCUGAAAAUCCUUUCUCAUAUAAUGAAUUUUCCUCUAAGCAUAAGAGGAAUUUAUAGGCACUUAAAUAUGUUAGAAGCUUUUGCCUCUUAAUAUUUCAACAACUAGUCACGCUUAACAUCAGACUUACUAAUAAAAACUCUUUUAAUUGUAUUAAUUAACAUCUAUCAAAAAUAUAAUUAUAAUAUUGUGCCAAUCUUAACUUUACUUUAAAUUGUGUAUGGUUUCUAGUUAAUUUCUCCCCAUGCAAAAUUAUGUCUUUUUAGCAAUUCUUGUUAUAUGUAUAUAUGGCUCUUCUUUCAUGGAGAGACAAAAACCCUCACAAUGACUUGUGUUUAACAUACAAACUAAAAUUCUAAAUUCAUAGUUACUUUUAGAAUAAUGGAAAUAAUUUGUGAACUAUUUUGACUUGUUGCACACAAUAUUUAUUCAUUAUUAUUGUUGAUUGUUGAAGUCAUCGUACAACACAUUUAUAAAGUAGUAAUGUCAUAUGAGUAAUAAAAUUAUCCUUGAAAUGGCAUUUAAAUAAUUUUAAUGCAACACCUUUUUUAUAUCUUAUACAUAUAGCAUUCAAAAAUUGCUUUUUAUAAUUAAAGUAGCCAUUUCUCUUUGACUUCAUAAUAUUGAAGGAAAACAUAGCACCGAGUGAAUGCAUCUCUUUUCUUCCAUUUGACUUUGUCAUUUGUAAUUUGAUAAUAAAAUUUGCAUAUGUCUAAUUAAUAAAUAACAUCAUUGUCAUAACUAUAAAAAAAUAAAUAUGAUAGUUGCUAUGAAAUUUUAUUUGCAAAUAAUUGUAGUUAGUACUUUNNNNNNNNNNNNNNNNNNNNNNNNNNNNNNNNNNNNNNNNNNNNNNNNNNNNNNNNNNNNNNNNNNNNNNNNNNNNNNNNNNNNNNNNNNNNNNNNNNNNUGAUAUGCUUAAAAACAUUUAUAUACUAGCUUAGUGAAUGCACUACUGAAAAGAAACAUUUAAAAUUAAAUAAGAUAGCUGUAAAGGAGUAGGGAGCACAAGUAUUUUUUUUGGAUCCAAUCUCAAAAUGGUGACUUCUCUUUUCUUUCAGAUGGCAAUGGAGCUCAAAGUUCUUUUCCUUUCGAAAUGUGCUUUGAGAACAACUCCCGACUUAUCUGCUUUCAAUAGCUUGAAGACUUUGUGUCUUUAUGAUUGUCAGGAUCUAGAGGAGAUUCAUCCUUCUAUCGAGGACAUUAAGACCCUCGUCACCUUGACUAUUGAAAAGUGUCAUAAAUUGAAGGGGCUAACGCUAGGAGUAGGUAGAAUGAAAGAAUUGAAGGAGCUAAUCAUAGGUGACACUCAUAUACGAGAAAUUCCUAUUUCAAGAGGUUGUUUGAUAAAGCUGAAGACUUUAGAUGCCUCAUAUUGUAGACAACUUGCUCGACUUCCAGAAUCCUUGGGCUCUUUUAUAUCAUUAACUCAGCUAAAUCUAUCAAACACAGGAAUUAAAGAAUUACCCGAAUCCAUUGGAUCUUUGAAGAAGCUCAAGACUUUAAAUGCAUCUUAUUGUGCAUCGUUAGUCUGUAUACCCAACUCAAUAGGUGAUUUAACAUCUCUAUCUCACCUUAACCUAAUAAAAUGCCAAAAAAUUGCUCAACUUCCAGACUCUAUAGGCUUCCUCGUGUAUCUAUUGUGCUUGUUAUUGUCAGGAUGCCACUCGUUAAGACAAAUCCCAGACUCGAUCGGAAAGUUGACAUCAUUGAUAGAGCUGGAUUUGGAAUCUACCGCCAUUGAAGAAUUACCUGAAUCCAUUGGUUCUUUGAAGGAGCUCAUGACUCUAGAUGCCUCUUAUUGCAAAUCGUUAGCCCACAUACCCAACUCAAUAGGCAAUUUAACAUCUCUGUCUAACCUUGACCUGAAUGAAUGCCAAAAACUUGCUCAACUUCCAGAAUCCAUAGGCUCCCUUGUGUAUCUACAGUGGUUGUUAUUGUCAGGAUGCCACUCGUUAAGACAAAUCCCAGACUCGAUCGGAAAGUUGACAUUAUUGAUAGAGCUGGAUUUGAAAUCUACGGCCAUUGAAGAAUUACCUGGAUCCAUUGGUUCUUUGAAGGAGUCAGACUCUAGAUGCUCUAUUGCAAAUCGUUAGCCCACAUACCCAACUCAAUAGGCAAUUUAACAUCUCUGUCUCACAUUUACCUGAAUGAAUGCCCAAAAACUUGCUCAACUUCCAGAAUCCAUAGGNNNNNNNNNNNNNNNNNNNNNNNNNNNNNNNNNNNNNNNNNNNNNNNNNNNNNNNNNNNNNNNNNNNNNNNNNNNNNNNNNNNNNNNNNNNNNNNNNNNNCACUCAUUGAGACAAAUCCCGGAUUCGAUCGGAAAGUUGACAUCAUUGAUAGAGCUGCAUUUGAAAUCUACGGCCAUUGAAGAAUUACCUGAAUCCUCUGGUUCUUUGAAGGAGCUCCAAGACUCUAGAUGCCUCUUAUGCAAAUCCUUAGCCCACAUACCCCAAACUCAAUAGGCAAUUUAACAUAUCUGUCUCACAUUUACCUGAAAUGAAUGCCAAAAACUUGCUCAACUUCCAGAAUCCAUAGGCUCCCCUUUUGUAUCUACAAUUCUUGGUAUUAUCCGAAUGCCACUCAUUGAGACAAAUCCCGGAUUCGAUCGGAAAGUUGACAUCAUUGAUAGAGCUGCAUUUGAAAUCUACGGCCAUUGAAGAAUUACCUGAAUCCAUUGGUUCUUUGAAGGAGCUCAAGACUCUAGAUGCCUCUUAUUGCAAAUCGUUAGUCCGCAUACCCAACUCAAUAGGCAAUUCAACAUCUCUGUCUCUCCUUGACCUAACGGAAUGCCAAAAACUUGCUCAACUUCCAGACUCUAUAAGCUUCCUCGUGUAUCUACUGUGGUUGUUAUUGUCAGGAUGCCACUCGUUGAGACAGAUCCCAGACUCGAUCGGAAAUUUGACAUCAUUGACAGAGCUGCAUUUGAAAUCUAUGGCCAUUGAAGAAUUACAUGAAUCCAUUAGUUCUUUGAAGGAGCUCAAGACUCUAGAUGCCUCUUAUUGCAAAUCGUUAGCCCACAUACCCAACUCAAUAGGCAAUUUAACAUCUCUGUCUCACAUUUACCUGAAUGAAUGCCAAAAACUUGCUCAACUUCCAGAAUCCAUAGGCUCCCUUGUGUAUCUACAGUGGUUGUCAUUAUCCGAAUGCCACUCAUUGAGACAAAUCCCGGAUUCGAUCGGAAAGUUGACAUCAUUGAUAGAGCUGCAUUUGAAAUCUACGGCUAUUGAAGAAUUGCCUGAAUCCAUUGGUUCUUUGAAGGAGCUCAAGACUCUAGAUGCCUCUUAUUGCAAAUCGUUAGCCCACAUACCCAAUUCAAUAGGCAAUUUAACAUCUCUGUCUUACCUUGACCUGAAUGAAUGCCAUAAACUUGUUCAACUUCCAGACUCUAUAGGCUCCCUCGUGUCCUUGCUGUGGUUGUUAUUAUCGGGAUGCCAUUCGUUGAAACAAAUUCCAGACUCGAUCGGAAAGUUGACAUCAUUGACGGAGCUGAAUUUGAAAUCUACGGCCAUUGAAGAAUUACCUGAAUCCAUUGGUUCUUUGAAGGAGCUCAAGACUCUAGAUGCCUCUUAUUGCAAAUCGUUAGCCCAUAUACCCAACUCAAUAGGCAAUUUAACAUCUCUGUCUCACCUUGACCUGAAUGAAUGCCAAAAACUUGCUCAACUUCCAGAAUCCAUAGGCUCCCUUGUGUAUCUACAGUGGUUGUUAUUGUCAGGAUGCCACUCGUUAAGACAAAUCCCAGACUCGAUCGGAAAGUUGACAUCAUGAUAAAGCUGGAUUUGAAAUCUACGGCCAUUGAAGAAUUACCUGAAUCCAUUGGUUCUUUGAAGGAGCUCAAGACUCUAGAUGCCUCUUAUUGCAAAUCGUUAGCCCACAUACCCAACUCAAUAGGCAAUUUAACAUCUCUGUCUCACCUUGACCUGAAUGAAUGCCAAAAACUUGCUCAACUUCCAGAAUCCAUAGGCUCCCUUGUGUAUCUACAGUGGUUGUUAUUGUCAGGAUGCCACUCGUUAAGACAAAUCCCAGACUCGAUCGGAAAGUUGACAUCAUUGAUAGAGCUGGAUUUGAAAUCUACGGCCAUUGAAGAAUUACCUGAAUCCAUUGGUUCUUUGAAGGAACUCAAGACUCUAGAUGCCUCUUAUUGCAAAUCGUUAGCCCACAUACCCAAUUCAAUAGGCAAUUUAACAUCUCUGUCUUACCUUGACCUGAAUGAAUGCCAUAAACUUGCUCAACUUCCAGACUCUAUAGGCUUCCUCGUGUAUCUACCGCGGUUGUUAUUGUCAGGAUGCCACUCGUUGAGACAAAUCCCAGACUCGAUCGGAAAGUUGACAUCAUUGACAGAGCUGCAUUUGAAAUCUACGACCAUUGAAAAAUUACCUGAAUCUAUUGGUUCUUUGAAGGAGCUCAAGACUCUAGAUGCCUCUUAUUGCAAAUCGUUAGCCCAUAUACCCAACUCAAUAGGCAAUUUAACAUCUUUGUCUUCCCUUGACCUGAAUGAAUGCCAAAAACUUGUUCAACUUCCAGACUCUNNNNNNNNNNNNNNNNNNNNNNNNNNNNNNNNNNNNNNNNNNNNNNNNNNNNNNNNNNNNNNNNNNNNNNNNNNNNNNNNNNNNNNNNNNNNNNNNNNNNNNNNNNNNNNNNNNNNNNNNNNNNNNNNNNNNNNNNNNNNNNNNNNNNNNNNNNNNNNNNNNNNNNNNNNNNNNNNNNNCUUAUUGCAAUCGUUAGCCCACAUACCCACACUCACACAGACAUUUAAACUCUCUGUCUCACCUUGAACAGAAUGAAUGCCAAAAACUUGCUCAACUUCCAGAAUCCAUAGGCUCCCUUGUGUAUCUACAAUGGUUGUCAUUAUCCAAAUGCCACUCAUUGAGACAAAUUCCGAAUUUGAUUGGAAAGUUGAUAUCAUUGACAGAGCUACAUUUGAAAUUUAUGGCCAUUGAAGAAUUACCUGAAUCCAUUGGUUCUUUGAAUGAGCUCAAGACUUUAGAUGCCUCUUAUUGCAAAUCGUUAGCCCGCAUACCUAACUCAAUAGGCAAUUCAACAUCUCUGUCUUGCCUUGACCUAACGGAAUGCCAUAAACUUGCUCAACUUCCAGACUCUAUAGGCUUCCUCGUGUAUCUACCACGGUUGUUAUUGUCGGGAUGCCACUCAUUGAGACAAAUCCCAGACUUGAUCGGAAAGUUGACAUCAUUGAUAGAGCUGCAUUUGAAAUCUACGGCCAUUGAAGAAUUACCUGAAUCCAUCGGUUCUUUGAAGGAGCUCAAGAUUCUAGAUGCCUCUUAUUGCAAAUCGUUAGCCCACAUACCCAACUCAAUAGGCAAUUUAACAUCUCUGUCUCACCUUGACCUAAAUGAAUGCCAAAAACUUGCUCAACUUCCAGACUCCAUAGGCUCCCUUGUGUGCUUGCCGCGGUUGUUAUUGUCGGGAUGCCACUUGUUGAAACAAAUUCCAGACUCGAUCGGAAAGUUGACAUCAUUGACUGAGCUACAUUUGAAAUGUACGGCCAUUGAAGAAUUACCUGAAUCUAUUGGUUCUUUGAAGGAGCUCAAGACUCUAGAUGCCUCUUAUUGCAAAUCGUUAGCCCAUAUACCCAACUCAAUAGGCAAUUUAACAUCUUUGUCUUCCCUUGACCUGAAUGAAUGCCAAAAACUUGCUCAACUUCCAGACUCCAUAGGCUCCCUCGUGUCCUUGUUGCGGUUGUUAUUAUCGGGAUGCCAUUCGUUGAAACAAAUUCCAGACUCGAUCGGAAAGUUGACAUUAUUGAUUGAGUUACAUUUGAAAUCUACGCCAUUGAAGAAUUACCUAAAAGCAUUAANNNNNNNNNNNNNNNNNNNNNNNNNNNNNNNNNNNNNNNNNNNNNNNNNNNNNNNNNNNNNNNNNNNNNNNNNNNNNNNNNNNNNNNNNNNNNNNNNNNNNNNNNNNNNNNNNNNNNNNNNNNNNNNNNNNNNNNNNNNNNNNNNNNNNNNNNNNNNNNNNNNNNNNNNNNNNNNNNNNNNNNNNNNNNNNNNNNNNNNNNNNNNNNNNNNNNNNNNNNNNNNNNNNNNNNNCAAUCCUGCAUUCCUGAAUUUUUCUCACUAAACUUUCUCAAGAGACUCACUCUUUCUAACUGGCUUAAAUGUCUCUCAAACCUUUCUAUAACAUGUUAUAGAAAAGCUAUGAAACUUGAUUUUGUAUCUUACAAAAGUUCGAGCUGUUAGUUGGGCAUUUUAUUUACCUUUUGUCUUGUGAUACAGUUCUCUUAAAGCGUUUCAAGACUCCUCCUGCCAACAACUUAGCCAUGGACUACCAAACAACAGAUGAACAUCCUUUGAAGAGAUCAAAACCUUUUGGAAUCUCAAAUGAAGUACUUAUUUCAUUUUGCUUUUUCUUUGCCGUUCUUCAGUUAUUAAAGGAUGGUUCCAUCUACAAAGAGAAGUAUUUUACUGAAUGAUCAAUUAUUUGUUAUGUGUGGAAUGCUUUGAUCAACAUUCGUAACUAGAUCCAUCAAACUUGUUACAUUCUCGCUAUUUUAAGUCUUUUGUUCUGGAAGUAGGGAUUUUAGUUUUCUUGAAUUAUGAAGUUAAGGUGGAAUAUAUUGCCCGUUCUCUUGUGUUUCUCUCUCUUAAUUAUCUUUAUUUGCACGCCAUUGAUCGAAAACUUUUUGAAAGCGCACUCAUUUGGGUGCUAUUGCGGCAUAUGAUCAUGCAUUGAGAAUCUUCACGAGUGUAGGGGUUAUCUCACAUCAGUUGUGGAAGGAAAAAGUAGUUAGUUUAUAAUUGUGAUGGAAAGUCUCAUCCUUUAAGUUAGCUUUUAAGAUGAGAUAAGCCCAAGACCACCCAACAAAAAAAAACUUUUAGUUUUGAGGUUUCUAGAUACCCUUAAUCUUCAUGAUGUUAACCUAAUGAAAUUAUUGAAGAUUGGAAGGAUAACAAGAAAGUUUGAUGGAGAGAGAAAGGAGCAAAAGGGCUAGGGUUGUCAAUUUGUGUCCUCUUGUCAUAAUUGUGUUUGUGAUUGUGUCAAUUCAUCAUGACUUCUAUUAGACAUGUCAACCCAUUGAAUUAGAUGAAAACAUGUAAAUAUCUCAUCAAGUUAAAUGUAUCGUGAUGUGUCAUAUUGGGUUGUGUUUGUGUUUUUCGUGUUUGGUAUUGUUAUGUAAACAGUAUGUGUCACUAUUGGCAGCAUUAAUGAGAAGCGUGGACUGGAUAGGUGUUGAUUAUGUCUCCUCCCAUCAUGCAUGCAUUGUGCUCACGUAUGCUAGUACAAGAGGGGCUCUCAUAUGAGUCUUUUGCAUCUUUUGAGUGCCAUGGUUUUGAUCAAUUUUCUAAAGGACUCAUUAGUUUUGUAAUCUUCAUGACUUUCUAAUAGGUGAAUAAUUUGCCGGGAAAGAUUUUUCCCAUUACAUACAACUACCAGAGCUUUGGUCAGAGUUCUUAUUCUUCAGAUGACUUGCCUAGAAAUGUAGUCGUUACCCUAAGUCAUGAUUCACUUGUUAAAAGUAUGGAUUUCCAUCCAGUGCAACAAAUUCUACUGCUCGGUUAGCACUUCUUUCUUACUCUAUGAAGAACUUGUUUCUUGAUCUUCUUUAGUUGGAUAUACUUGUUGGCCAUAAGUUUGUGUUUUGGUGCUUGGAAGAUUCCUGUUUGUUGUUUUUUAUGCUCGCUUCAGCUAUUUGAAACCAAGGGAUAUGAUUCUUCAAAUUUUCUGCAUCAAUAAUUUUUAGUGGGAACAAAUACGGGUGAUGUCAUGGUAUGGGAAGUAAGCAACCGUGCAAGGAUUGCUUUGAGAAAAUUCAAGGUUUGGAAUUUGGGAACACGUUCAAUGGCGUUGCAGGUAUAUAAGUUCCACUCUAAAUAAAGUCAUGUAUCUUGUUUUUGGACAUGUAAUUGGGGGUUUUGAUUCUUUGUAGGCUUCUCUAGCCAAUGACUAUACAGCAUCCAUUAAUCGUGUAACGUGGAGUCCUAAUGGACUUUAUUUUGGUAUGUACAGAUGUCACUUCUACUUGUCUUAUUGCAAAUUGAUGAAACAACUAACGCGCUGAGAAUGAGACUUCAUUGCAAUAUUUUCAGGAAAAAUGUUCAUAUGCUGCUAUUACUGAUGAUUUGUGGUGUUCACUUUAGGUGUUGCUUAUUCCAAACACAUGGUGCACAUAUACUCGUAUUACGGUGGUGAUGACAUGAGGAACCACCUUGAGGUUUGUUGCUAAACAAGGAGUGAAAAAAUUCGGCUUCUUUUUGUAGACAAUUGCCACAUAAAAGUGAGUAAAACUUGAUUUUGACUCUAAACUAAUGUUUGAUACAGCUCGAGGCUCAUGCUGGAAGUGUUAAUGAUCUUGCCUUUUCAUAUCCAAACAAAUGGUUAUGCGUUGUGACCUGUGGAGAGGACAGGUCAAUCAAGGUAUAUCUUGAUUAUUUUCCUCAGUGUUGCAGCGUUCCAUCGUUUGAUCCCUUAACUAAGCUAGUAGUUUUGUAGGUAUGGGAUGUAAUGACUGGGGCUAAGCAAUACUGUUUCAAGGGUCAUGAAGCACCUGUAUAUUCUAUUUGUCCACACCAUAAAGAAAAUAUCCAGGUACUUGAUUAUUUCACGUACUAACAAAGACACCCUGCGAGCAUGGCCAAUCAGAUGUACCCUUGACUAUACACUAGACUUUUGUUUUCUAAAACUCAGUUAGGUAAAAAAAAAAUUGGUUCAAUUUGUAUGAGGAGUAUGAACCUAUGUUUUGAAGGACCUUGUUCAUUUCAAGGGUUUUGCAAGUCUUCCGACUUUUAACCUGUCUUGAUUAGAAUGUGCUUGUCAAACAUGGUGAAAUUGGUCCAAAGAUCAACCUACUAAUUUGAUUCUUUCAAGUAAUGCUACUAAGCAUCGACAACUAGGUAAAGGUCUUUGCAAUAAUGACUUCCUGCUUAAUUAUAUAUUCAAAAAGAAAAUUCCUCUACUACCAUUGAUUGUUCUCCCUUAGUUUUCUCUUUUAGUCACGAUUGGUUAAAUUUAUAAUAGAAGGCUGUUUAUUGUGUUUGAGUGGAGCAGCAAUUGGCAAUGUUAUCUUCUUCUUCUUCUUCUUUUUAAACAUUUAUGGUUGUGCAUAGUGUACACUUUAUUACAAAGAUGUCUUAUGAAAUCUCAUCAUUCUAGGAUGCUAUGUUUAAAUAAUUAUAGUUUAAGUGGAUGUGCUCUAUUUGGGCAUGUUACUGAAAUUGGUUAUACAAUUGUUUUAUCGUGUAGUUCAUCUUCUCAAUAGCAACAGAUGGGAAAAUUAAGGCUUGGCUUUAUGACAACAUAGGGUCAAGAAUUGACAACGAUGCACCGGGUCACUCUUCUACCGUGAUGGCAUACAACGCCGAUGGAAAAAGGUUUAGACCAUCAGCAUUGUAUAUCAAGCUUGAUUUCAUCCCGAGUCUUUCUUUUUCACUGAAAUAACCUAUUUUAGCGAUUUUAAUUUGCUAUAGGUUGUUCUCGUGUGGGACCAAUAAAGAAGGAGAGUCAUACUUGGUUGAAUGGAAUGAAAGUGAGGGGGGUAUCAAGCGUACAUAUCAUGGACUUGGAAAGAGUUCUAGUGGGGUUGUGCAGUUUGAUACCAUCAAAAAUAGAUUUUUGGCUACUGGUGACGAGUUCAUUAACAAAUUUUGGGAUAUGAACAAUGAUAGCCUACUUACAAGUACCGAUGCUGAUGGUGGAUUGCUGGUAAUUCACUGUUGUUAAUUUAUUUUGACUGAAUUAACUGAAACUUUCUAUUAAUUACCUCACUCUUUAAAUUUGCAGGCUUCACCUUGUAUUAGAUUUAACAAGGAAGGAAUCCUGUUAGCCGUCUCAACAAGUGAUAAUAGCAUCAAAAUUCUAGCAAAUUCAUUUGGGAUUGAGCUGCUAAGGACUGCAGAAAAACAUAUGCUUCUAGAGUCACUGCUAGGAGUCUUUUGAAGGUAAGCUUUUUUAACAAUACACUAACUUUAUGUAAAGAAGUCACUACUAGUCCAUUGUGGUCGGCUAAAACCCAAGGACUUGAUUACACUAGUUAUUUAAUUAAUGCUCUUUCAGUACCUAGACUUGAUUUAACUAAGUGUCCAUGCAGUCUUGGACCCUUUUAUUGACCUAUGCCACUUAAUUGGUGUCCAUGCAUGAGUGCACAAUAAAGGAAAAGUAAACAAUCAUUAUUAAUUCAACAAAAGUAAAGUAUAAGAAAAUACACCUAAUGAAGUGCCAAGCGAAGAAUACACAUGGCUUUGUUUUUAAGCCUCAAGACAACAACCUUGUAAGCUAAAUUCAAAUUAAGUCCAAUUCCUUUUCUCAAACACUAUUCUAUGUAACCUCACCUAAAUCAAAGGCACUCAUUAAAAUCUCUAAACCAUAUGUAGAGUAACUAAAACUAGAAGAAACUAAGCUACAUCUAGCACUAAAACUUAACGACCUAAUCAAGGUCUUUGUUAUUAACCAUUUUCCAAUUUUUCAUAUUUUCGAUUUUUUUUGAAAAUUUAAUUUUAAUUAUUUUCUGAAAAUAGGAAAUCGGGCCGGGCCCUUGGGCCUGGUCCGGAUAUGAGCCUCAUACUGGUCUCACGAAUCUGGGCUAAUGGACAAAAUUCGGGCUAUUAUAUCCAGAUCCAUCCAAUUCUAACUCUACUGAGCCCAAUUCAGAUUAUACCUAUUUUAAGCCCAUUUACCCAUGGAAGCUACUCUAGCUCACUUUCUCAUCUAACUGCACCAAGUCCAUCUUUAAGCCCAAUUUCUAUUACAAAUAGAUUAAACCCUAAGCCCACGCCAACCCUAUCUUACUAUUAUUAUUUUUAAUCCAUUUUUUCCUCUUUUCUUACAUCUUUCGUCAUUUUUUAUUAUUAUAAAAGUAAUCAAUGUUAGGUGUGCGAAGAGCCCCCCCUUUUUUUUAAGAGACUACCUGGUAAACUUUCCUGCAGUAACUUAAGCUAUAAAGGAUGGGUGAUGUAGCUUUUGUAAGGUCUUUGACAAAUAUUUCACAACUUUUUAGGAAAUUGCUUCGCCCGAUUUUGGGAUGUUGGAGCUGCUGUCGACGGCAUUGGGAAACAAUUUGGUAAAAGAAGUUGAAUUAACCUUCCAGCAAAGAAUUAUAAAGUGGAGAUGGUCAAUGGCAUUGGGAAACAAUUUGGUAAAAGAAGUAUUUCUAAGAGGUAUAAUAAGUCAGAACUCAACAAAAACGUCAGUGGAAGUGUUCAAUCAUGAAGAAGAAGAAGAAGCAAAACACCAUUCACUAAGGGAUAACUCGUGCACGCAGAAGGGAGGAAGCAGGGGAAAAUGGCUCCAUCUUCCAUCGUCUCCAGUCACCAUUGGAUAACCUUUCGUCGCGGUGUCUCAAGUUCCGAUAUAGCCGCUAGCUACCAUCGCCGUUCAUUACGAGUUCCAACUCCUUCGUUGGUUGCGCCGUCGACCAUCAGUCUCAGGAGGAUCACGUUUGUUCAUUUCAUCGCGAGCACCAUUCCAGAACCAAAACAAACAAAAACAUCGAGCAAGGAAAAUUCAUCUAAAAAAAGCGAUUCCGUUCGAUUCAGUUGGCGAUUUCAAGCGUUCUGAAUCGAUCACAGUGGCCGUCGCCGGCAUCAACAGCCUCUUCAAUGCCGCGACUCAUCUCCUUCGUUUCCCUUCAACGGCCGAGAGCUUCGAAAUGUUGUCGUUCCGCUCGAAGCUUCUCCACCUGUUCAGGUUUCGAUCAUCGACACGUUCUAGAGCUUCUUUCAGCGAUUCGUGCGCCAAACCGCGGCCUCAGUCCACUUGAUUAAGCAGGUAGCAUCUCCUGUUCUGUUGUCACGAGUAAGAGGCCGAGAGUCUGAUUCUCUUAUUAUGAUGAAAUUGAUCAUAUUUGAAUUUUUUUCUUUGACUUCGAACAUCAUGUACUGAUUUAGGUUGAGUCUAGUUGUAAAUUCGAGUUCGAAAUGGCUUUGAUAUGUUCCACAACCGAUUGACCAUAAUCUGUUCGAUGAAAUGUGUCUGAGACCCUGUUGUGAAUUGAUUCCAGUAAUCGUCCGAUCUGAAAAAGCGCAUUAGUGAUGUUCACUUGAUAUUGUUUGAUUUUUCAAUCUUUAGACAUGAUUACGAGUAUAUGCCAUAGUUGCCAAGAAUAAAACUGACUCUCCGCAUGUUUUCUCAGUGCUUCUUGUGAUCCUUUGGUGAUAGGUGGUGGUUGCCGGCAAGGGGAGAUGGAAUGGAGUCGCUGGCACAUGCAUUAGUCUUUGGUGAUGAUCGUAGCAUGCCCUGUUGAACAGAAUCGAGACGAUGUCGCUGAGCGUUAAUCGCCAAUUCAGAUAAUGAACUGCGGCCGACACAUGUUGCGGUCACUAACGGGAGCAAUGUUAUGCCUAGUCACUAUCCGCGUCCUUGCCACUGAGUCACCGUGCAAUCUCCUCGACUGCCAAGCUUUGCUUCAGUCCAUGCCUUGCAGACCAUCCUUGCCAUUGCAAUUGCUGUGCCACACCUUACCAUAAUGGCUAUUCAAGUGAACUCCGCAUGCGAUAGCACUGCCAUCAGAAUAAACCGCCAUACAUUACCAUUAUGGAUUGAUGUGGCAAUAGAGCUAUAUCCAUCACGUGUCUUUACAAUCGGUUGUUUCCGUUCCAACUGAGUUUUAGAGUCCAUUGUAUGUUCAGAUUUCCUUCGCUGCUUUGUUUUAAUGUUCAGGAUUUUGCGAGUCUUCUUAAACCGAAUCAUGGGAAAACUAAAUGGUUCGAAGUCCAGUCGUCAUGGGGUCGAUACUUUGUUGUAAAAUCAUUGUGCAUUACCUGCUUCCUGAUUCUUGUCUUGUCCUUUGGUUAUUGGUUACUUCACCUUCGUUGAUUUCAUUGUCCGGAAGUAGGUAAUCAAUCCAAGAGCACCUGCUAAAAUUGCAUUUUAGUUGUGUCAUCUGCUUCCUGCCUCAUUCUCUGUGAAUGACAUUCUACUUCUUGCGUGCUGUUGAGGGAAAUCAAUGGUUGACAAUCGAUAUGAAGUGAGCAAGUUAUACUUGUUUCCUGUCUUUAGUUGAUAACUUUUUGCGUAUGACAAUCGAUUAAUUAAACCAGUCCAUAGCUUGCACGAAAAUAGUAAAUGAGGAUUUACUUCUUUCUUGGAAUUAUCAAUGUCAUCGCUUUGUCUCUGGUAGUGGAAGAGUUUAUCAUUCUUUUUGAACUUUUUGAACUUGUAUAAGAAUCAAUGGAAUUCUCAUGGAGCAUUGAGUACCCAAAAUUUACAAGUUAUAUGAAGUGGUGGUGUCCUUUUGUUGCAUAUGCUGGAGUUUAGCGGUUAGUGUUCAUCUAUGUUUGUUGAACCGUUUGAUUUAUCACUUCAAUCGACAAAAUCUCAUAAACAGACAUGACAAUUGCGAGAGACGUCUUUGAACUGGCACUUUGGUGAUGAUGGUGCUCCUUCGUGUCGACUGUAUUUACUUGUUUGAGGAAGAAUCAUUUAUGAUAUUUUAUGAUAUUGGAGAAGUGAAUAUGUAUGGAAGGUUCCUUGGAUUCACAAGAAUAAAACCACUCGUGAUCCUGGAUCCACUCAUUGAAGAAAUGGAGAGAGAGAAUUUCCACAUGGACGAUGUGAAUGGGUCGUUGCUAAGCUUCUCGGCUGUUUGUUGAAUUUGAUUUGCAUAAUGGGUUGAAGCUAGCAUUUUAGUAGUGCUGGAAUUCCAAAACUGAGACGAACUGAAGAAUUUGAUGUUAAGUAUCUAAGCAAUGCCCACAAUUAGUAACAUGUUCUGAGCUAAUCAAGGUUUGUCAUCUGAGUAUAUCGCCAAGUAGUGCAUAACUUAGUCCUUUUUAGAGUAAUGCAUCAUUUAGUUAGAAAUUCGAGCAUGUUUAGAUUAGUACUUAGCUCAUGUGGGUUACUGUCUCGGGCUUAGCUCGAGAAUUCCAGCACAUUAUGACUGGAUGUAUAACCUUCCACAUCAUACAAAACCACAUAUCAGACGAACCCAAAGAUUUUCCGUUGUUCCACAAAUUAAGCAGGCUGGCACUUUAUCUUGCUGCUGGCAUAGUCGGCAAACCUGAUAAAGAACAGAACCAAAAUCUUAUUCACAAUCAGUUCAAAGAUGGGCACCCCUGAUGAUGUCGCAGUACGUAACCACAUUUCCGAUAAAGUUAAUCCUUGCAGUCAAUCAAGUAUGUGCCAUACUUGAAAUCUUUAGCAAUGUAAUUGAACCUUCCAAGAAAAUCAAAGGAAGACCCUUGGCACGGCACCAGCCUGGGGUAAUGUUGUAUUGACUUAUUUUAAACAUAAAGAUUGAAGAAUCAAGCGAAUGUGCACAUGUCCAUCAACGUAUGUCUUACAGGGCAUUUUUUUCAUCUUCAUAUAUAUAUUCGAGUUCAAAGGUACAUUUUUGCUACAAAUUCAUGUGGAUAGAGCGCAAUCACAAUUAAGUAGAAUAUCACUUGAAAUGUAAAAUAUAACCAUGCACCAUCUUAAUUAAGAGCCUGGAGAAGUUUAAGGUGAGGUGAGUAUAUAAGUUUAACACAUAAACUCAAUAUUUUAUGUUUGGACAGUGCUAUUACUUUCGUCACCAUUUGACUCACAAGAAAUAUGACGUAGAAGUGACAGGACCAUCAAAUCUAAUAACCAUGAUGAGACACUGCAAAUAUUCUCAUGUGAGAGUAUGAGAAACAACAGAAAAACAAGUCCAAGAAGCCACACAUUGACAUAUUCCAAAUCACCAAAGAAAUGUCAUAAUAAUUUAAAAAGAAAUCCAAAACUUUGUAAGCAAGAUAGAGUAAAGAUCUAACAUAAGCCUGAAUGAAAAAAAAAAGAUUUUUUUUUUUAUAUACUUUUCAUCCCUGUACUGCCACCUUUUUAUGUAAUUAUGUCCAUAUACCUUAAACUUGUCGAAUCAAGUCUUUCUAUAUUUACAAAUUUACUAAUCAAGACCCAACCAAAUUUAAUUGACGUAACCCUCGAAUGAUGCCCCAAUAUGAUGCAAAUGCUCACGUAGACAUAUGUGGAAAAAUUUAGCCAAUGUAGACAAUGUUAGAAUGUGACAUGGAUAAAAUUUAGCUAAGGUGUUAGUCAAAGUAACGUCCAUAUUGGAGAUUUUUUUAUCUAUGUCACACACUGACAUCAUUUGAUGAUUACGCCAACUGGAUCUGGCAGGAUUUUGUGUUUAUUGGGAUUUGAUUAGAAAAAUUUGUUAAAUUUGAAUGACUUGACUCGACAAAAUAAAAGUACGAUGGAGAGAACAGUAAAGUAGGGAAUAUUUCAAAAAACCAACCGCAAAUCCAGUCAGCAAAUAUCAGCAAAAGAUAGUGGCAGUUGCUGAGAAAUUAUGGUCUAAACUACUCUUAUCUGCACCAGCAAAAGAAAGCCUCACCUGACAAGACAACUAAGUCUAUUUUGUACCACAUGAGCAAUGAAUGGAAUGGUCACUCUUGAGUACUCAAAAUUCCGCUGGUGUGUGGGUCCGAUCUCAACGACAUCAAAAGCCAAGAAAAGGUCGCGACUGUGAACAUGUCUAUAAACUUAGUCUCAUUUUAUCAUAUGCUUUGACAGGGAACAAAAUUUCUAAGCCAAACUAGCAGCUGUGAGGGAAAUAUAUUCAGCAAGGGAUGUUGACACCUAAAAUUUGAUGAUCUAGUUAAUUAUUCAUUGCAAAAAUUAAGUAAAAUUGAGGAUUGAUCCCGGUCCCUAAAAAGAUAUUAGCUAAGUUGCAUAUACAUAUUAGAAGCAUUUUUCAUUCAUUAAAUAGUAAGCCCACAUAUGAUUACACUUCGAUUGGACUGGUGUAAGGAGAUUAUGAGCUUAAUUGAGUUUAUUAGACUAAGCCCAUGAGAAUGAGAAAUUCGGCCUAACCCGUCUAUUUCCUUUGCUCGACCAGACAUCAAAUAUGCAGUAUAAGGAAUUUAGCACGAAUGAAGGAGCAAAUAUUCGUUAUUAAGGAAUAUAUUCUGAAUAAUUUUUUGGGAGAAUUAACUGGCCAAUUCUUUCCAUUAUUAAAGAUGCGCAUCAUGCUUAAAGUAGGCAAGUUAAUUUUUCUUAGUCAAAUCUGGAAGUAAUUGAACACUAUUUGAAAGGAUAAAAACAAAAAUAGAAAAAUAAAAAGGAAUAAAACAGGGAAAAAGUACAAAAAAAGUCAUAAACUAUUGCAUCGAUAUCAAUUCAAUUCUAAAAUUUUCAAUUAAAUCAAUUAAAUCAUAAAUUUUUUCACAUUGGUACUAAUUUAGUCAAUUUGACCAAUUUUGGUCGGCUAGUGGCCAGAUGUUGACGUAGCAAUUUUUAAAUAAUUUUUUUGAAUUUUUUUAUUAAUUUUUCCUUCUUCUUUUUUUCCCUUUUCCUUUUCUCUCUUCUUCCACCUUAAACUAUACUCACGGUGGCCAGCAAACCUUUGGUGAGGCUCGCCAACCAUUGGGCGAGGGCCGUGAAGCCCUUGUCGGCCGCUAGUGAGGGUCGUGGCCUUCGCUUAGCCUUGCCCAAGGCCGCGAGCGAGGCUACUUUGCCUAGGUCCAGGUGAGACCAGCCUCGCCCUAGCCUUGCCUUAGGCGAAGGCGGCCUCGCCCGUGGUUGGCAAGGCCAUGGCGGCCAUCGCCAAGGCCUAAGCAAAGGUCACCAUGUCCUCACCUGCAGCCCCGGGCGAGGGUGUGACCCUCCCUGGCAACUGGCCAGUGCUUCGCGGCCCUUGCCUAGUGGUUGGCGAGCCUUGUGGGAGGCUUGCUGACCACCGCGAGUAUAGUUCAAGGAGGAAGAAGAGAGAAAAGAAAAGGAAAAAGGAAAAGGGAAAAAAGGAAAAAGAAAAGGAAAGGAAAAGGAAUUAUUAUAAAAGAUUAAAAAAAUUAUUAAAAAUUGUCACAUCAUUGUCUGGUUAGCGUCCACAUCAGUGUCGGCUUGCCAAAAUUAGCCAGAUGGAAUGAAUUGGUACCAAUAUGAAAAUGUUUAAGACUAAAUUGAUUCAAAUGAAAAAGUUUAGGACUAAAUUGGUACAAAUGCAAUAAGUUUAUGAUUUUUUUGGUACUUUUCCCAAGAAAAUGGUGAAGAAAGAAAGAGAAUGAAGGAGCAGAGGACGCCGACAAAGAGGAAGAGGAGGGAGCGAAGCCAAUGGUAGCGUGGGAGGAGCUAGGGUUGGAGGCGGCGGCGGUGACGAAAGGGAGGGGGUGAAGGAGAAGGAGAGAGGGGAGGAGGAGUUAGGGUUUACGGUCACAAGCAAAGAAAGAAAAGAGAAAACAAGAAAAAAGAAAGGAAAAGAGAAAACAAGAAAAAGAAAAAAAGAGAGAAAGAAAUAAGAAAAAAAAUAUAAUAUUAACAAAUUCAAAAUUUUUAGUUAGUAAAAUUUUUAGGAAUAAAUUUUUCAUUAUCUAAGGACUUUAAAACAUUUUGGAAAAUGUUUUCCAAUUCUUUCAAAUAGAAAUCGUUUUUAUGAAUUUAAGCUUUGGAGGGAAAACCUAUUCUAUUGAUUAGGAAAAUAGUUUAUGUUAACUUAUUUUCCUAAGUGAAUCAAACACUGGUAAAUGAGGAAAACGCUUAUUUAGGAAAUUGUUUUUCGCAAAACAAACACACCCUUCACUGUGUUCCCAAACACCUAGGGAGCUAUAGGACAUUAGUGUUCGCCGACACAUUUUCUAGGAUUGCCUUUUCCACAUUUUAUUUUUCAAAUUUCCAUGUUCUUUAACAAUAUUUCGGAAAAUGAAUGAUACAUGGGGGGAAAUUAGGAAUUCAACAUGAAACGUUGCAAACUAUUAAUUUGGAGGAGAGAGAUAAAAAUGAUUAGAUGGAGUGUAAAGACUGGAUAAUCUUUAAAUAUGAUGCAGCAUGGAGAAAUCUAAUUUGAGAAAAUUAUUUCGAAAGAGAUUUAUUUUGAGAGCUACUUUCUCGGUCAAAUCUCUUUUGAAAAAAGUAAUGCGUCCCGCACACUUUUAAUAACAAUAUCCUAUAUAAUCCCACGAUUGAUAUGCUUUUGUUAUCGACUCAUGUUCAUUAGCAGCUUCGACCAAAAAAAUGAAGAAGAAGAAAAAAAAAUGUACAUUAGCAACAGGAGAAGGUGAUUGUCGGUAACCACUGGGAGUUCGCCCCAAUGACCACUCUUCCAACUUGGAAGGGGGAUGUUGGGAGUUCAAAUUCCUAACUUCGCGGGGGGAUUGGGGUGGGGAUGAUUUCAUUUCAAGAAUGGAUUUCGACUCCCACGUCCUGCAAUGAGGCAGGGCAAAAGUCUGAAAGUGAGUGUUAGAGUAAGAUUAUAGUAGGAUCGAAAAAAAGAAAAAAGAUGACUGUUGGUCGUUAGUUGUCUUUUUCUAUUCUGUCUAGUAAUACAAAAGGCUAGCCAAGUCAGACAAUGCUGGAGGAUCUCAAAUCUCAAUGAAAGCACAUGCAUGCACCAUCCUCGUAUAAUGCUGAGGAUCGGCGGAGAUCACAGCUGGCGCACGUGAGUAUUGCUCGUUGGUUCUCUUUUCUAUUUUCUUUCGUUAAUAUCGAAAGGCAAGUCAAGUCAAUCCGUACUGGAUCUCAAAUUUUGAUCAAAGCACCAGGCACGUGAUUGCAUGUGAGUAAUUGCUCGUUGGGUUCCGCACACAUUCCGCAAGAUGCUGCGGAAACUUCGCGUGCAAUGACUGUUCUUUCCGCGGCAUGUUUCGCUGCGGUUCGAUUAGCAUGAAGAGACUUCGACCGUUGGAUAGCUAGGCCCCAACAUUAUAUGCUUUGCACAAAUAGCCCCGGUCGAUCUUUUCAUGCGUCAACAAUUUUUAUCUAAUUAAUUUGACUAACCCAUAUAUAUAUAUAUAUAUAUCCGGAUGGAGAGGAAAUCCUAUUCAGGUAGAUAAAUUUCCACCGUAUAAUUCUAAUAAUGGAAAUUUGGUUCAUUCACUCUAAAUAUUUUGCCUUCCAUACCCAAAAUUUAGGACCUCACUAAUUUCAUCCUUUGCACUUCUAUAUCCUCAAGAAACUUUGAGCCUGCAUACAUCUUUUCUCUUGACAAUGUAAAUGGUUUAUAAAAUUUUUUUAGCCCUGAUUACAUCCUAGAUUGCAGUUUGUUUUAGGGAGGGUUUUAUCCGUUGAGCACACGCACUGAUUAGUAAAAGCAUCGCCAGGAGAAAAAAAUGAACUUUAUGGUUCUUCCCUAAACUUUAAUUUGCUUUCUCUUCGCUAGUUAAUCUUUCCUAUGUGCAUAUACUUGCUUCGUUCUUCCAUAACGAAACAUGUAAUUGGUAAAUUGUCGAACUUGUGAACUACAAUAUCCACUAUUUUAUCAAGUCUCAUUUUUUUUUUCCAUUUUUAAUUUGAGGUAGUACAUUAAACAUGCUAACAAAAUAGAAUCUAAAUAGGAAACAAAAAUAAAAAUAAAACAAUUGGCUAUGGUGCAAUAUUAUAUAGCAAUAUAAUUGGUCUAGGUCGUGAUAUUGUAGUGUAGUUGGUUUAUAAUAUCCAAUCACUAAUGACAAACGACUAUAACAAGUACAUAGAUCUUUUUCUUUUCCAUUUUUUUAAUUGAUAUGAGAAGGAAAAUAUAUUUAUAGGAUUAUAAAUAUUAAGAGAGAGAAUAGAUCUUGCAUUGCCAACAAAGCAACAUGGCAAAAAAGUUGUAUAAUACCUUAAGAUUGCUUCAUUUGCAGUACCUUUAUUAAAGAUAUAUAAAGUUGUAUAAUACCAAUGGCUAAGAUAUUAAGUGUAAUACUCAAAUAUAACCUUGUUUAAGAGAUAAUGACGACAAAGACAGCGAUAAAUAUGCCCUAUCCAAUAAGUAACUCACCGAUAAAAUACGAUAAAACCCAACUCGCCCUCGAGUGCUGUCGGAAUAUUAUUGCAAAUACAUCCAUGAAGCCAUCGAUAGAAGACACGUACUUGCAAAUACAUCCAUGGUCCAUAUUUGAAAUUCAGCACUCAAAAUUUUUAGUGAUUAUUUUUCAGUUUUAUCUUAACGGCACGUACUCGCAGCUUAUUUUUCACAAACGAAUUUAAGUUCAGCAUUGGCAAAAAAAAAAAAAAAAAAAAACAAGUUGAGUCGAGUUGAAAGUCGAGUUAUAGUACAUAAGCUUUGACUCAAAAUUACCAGUGCAAUCGUUUACUUUAAGUAGUUAGAGUACAAUGUUGAAUAUAUUUUGUCUUAACAGUUCAUUUGGUUUAACUUCUAGCUUUUUCUUGACGAUAAAGCAAGAAUUAGGUACAUAAAUUCACAAAUCAAUAAAUAAUCCACUAAUGCAAAGGAUCACACAAGACACAGGUCCCUAGUUAUGAAACCAUUUUAUGCUUACAAACGCGAGGAACCAAACACACGUCAUGUAUCUAGUUUCCAUACACUAAUUUUUGCUUUCCUUUCUCUUGCAACUCACACAGUUGAACUUUUGUUUAACAUAAAUAACUUAAAAGAUUCAAAAUGUGUAAAUACAGUCACGUAGAUAAUUAUACAAAUCUUUUUGUAAUUAACUUAAAUUAUAUAUUAAUUUUUUAAAUGUUAAACAUUUAUUAUGUUAUACCAAAAUUAUCUUGAAAGAGGUAAUACACCAGGCCAAAGUAAGGAGCCACCUCAGUUACCGUCGAGUCCACGUCCGUGUGGCCAUGCAGCGUUGUCGUCGAGGUCCGAGGGGCGAUGGAUAUUCCUGUCUCCUUUUUCAAAAGCCGAAGUAAUCACUCCGAAAGUCCAACCCCCAUGUCGCCUCGGUUGGGAAGUACACAGGAACUCGCUCGGUCCGCGCGCCACGUGAGGUCGAGGGGCAAGUCGGAGUGGCAGAAGAUAUCCUCGAGGUCCGAGGCGGGGACCCCGCUUAGGCUUCGGUUUCAGAGCAGCUGACCGUCGUAGCGGUCAAACAAGUACGUGCCGCACUUGAAAUCUCUAGCAACGUAAUUGAACCUUGCAAUAAAAUCAAAGGAAGAACCUCGGCGCAUCACCAGCAUAGGAGACCACCAUAUUGACUUCAUUUAAAAAGAAAGAACGACGAAUCAAGCAAAAGUUAGUAUGUACAUAUCCAUCUAUGCAUCUCUUACGGGGCGCUUUUUCAUCUUUUAAUAUAGACUCGAGUUCAAAGGUAAUUUUUUGCUACAAAUUCACAUGAAAAUAGCAUAAUUACAAUCAGUAGAAUAUCACUUGAAAUGUAAAAUAUGACCAUGCACCAUCUUAUCUAAGAGCCAAGUUUGAGAAAAGACUACCAAAAACCCUAAACUUUACCAAAAGUGACAAAUUUAUCUCAAACUUUUUUUGUGACGUGAAAAACCUAAAACUUUUCAAAUUGUAACACAUUUACCCAAUCAAGGGCAUUUUUGUCUUAUUUUUUCUCUUUUUUUUUUCUUCUUCUUCCCUCUACUGGCUAUGGUGGAGGGAAGCUGGCAUCCCGGCGAGGGCUGCCCUUAUCGACGUUGGGCUAGCUCAUGCGAGGGUCGUCUCGCCCUGGGGCUUGGCUANNNNNNNNNNNNNNNNNNNNNNNNNNNNNNNNNNNNNNNNNNNNNNNNNNNNNNNNNNNNNNNNNNNNNNNNNNNNNNNNNNNNNNNNNNNNNNNNNNNNNNNNNNNNNNNNNNNNNNNNNNNNNNNNNNNNNNNNNNNNNNNNNNNNNNNNNNNNNNNNNNNNNNNNNNNNNNNNNNNNNNNNNNNNNNNNNNNNNNNNNNNNNNNNNNNNNNNNNNNNNNNNNNNNNNNNNNNNNNNNNNNNNNNNNNNNNNNNNNNNNNNNNNNNNNNNNNNNNNNNNNNNNNNNNNNNNNNNNNNNNNNNNNNNNNNNNNNNNNNNNNNNNNNNNNNNNNNNNNNNNNNNNNNNNNNNNNNNNNNNNNNNNNNNNNNNNNNNNNNNNNNNNNNNNNNNNNNNNNNNNNNNNNNNNNNNNNNNNNNNNNNNNNNNNNNNNNNNNNNNNNNNNNNNNNNNNNNNNNNNNNNNNNNNNNNNNNNNNNNNNNNNNNNNNNNNNNNNNNNNNNNNNNNNNNNNNNNNNNNNNNNNNNNNNNNNNNNNNNNNNNNNNNNNNNNNNNNNNNNNNNNNNNNNNNNNNNNNNNNNNNNNNNNNNNNNNNNNNNNNNNNNNNNNNNNNNNNNNNNNNNNNNNNNNNNNNNNNNNNNNNNNNNNNNNNNNNNNNNNNNNNNNNNNNNNNNNNNNNNNNNNNNNNNNNNNNNNNNNNNNNNNNNNNNNNNNNNNNNNNNNNNNNNNNNNNNNNNNNNNNNNNNNNNNNNNNNNNNNNNNNNNNNNNNNNNNNNNNNNNNNNNNNNNNNNNNNNNNNNNNNNNNNNNNNNNNNNNNNNNNNNNNUGGCUUCCUUUCACGGAUUCCGCCAUGGCCGGCAGGGGGAAGAGAGAAGAAAAAAAAAAAGAAAAAGAAAAGUAAAAAGACCAAAAUGCCCUUUAGUUUAUGAUAAAUGUGUCACACGACAGAAGUUUAGGAUUUUUUAUAUCACAAAAGAAAGUUUGGGAUAAAUGUGUCACGGUUGGCAAAAUUCAUGAUUUUUAAAAUCACAAAAAAAAGUUUGGGGGUAAAUCUGUCACUUUGGACAAAGUUUAGGGUUUUUCGUGAUUUUUUCCAGCCAAGUUUAAGGUCUAAGAUCAGCAUUUUGAUAUCAUUACGAUCAUCUUAUAAGCAGUAAGCAUUCAAGUAGCAUUCAAGUAGCAUUCAAGUUUAAUACAUAAACUUGAUAUUUUAUGUUUGGACAUUGCUAUUACUUUUUUUUUUUUGGUAAGGUAACAUUGCUAUUACUUUUGUCACUAUUUGACUCACAAGAAAUUUAACAUAGGGAAAUUUAACAUAGGAGUGAUAGGACCAUUAGCCCUAAUAACCAUGAUGAGACACUGCAAAUAUUCUUGUGUCAGAGUAUGAGAAACAACAUAAAAAUAAGUCCAAGAAGCCACACUUUUGACCUAUUCCAAAUCACCAGAGAAAUAUCAUAAUUAAUUAAAAGAAAUCCAGAGCUUUGUAAGCACGGUGAAGUAAAGAUCCAGCAUAAGCCUGAAAGACAAAAUUAAGUUUUUUUUGGGUACUUUCAUCCCUAUACUUUCACUUUUUUCUCUCAUUAUGUCCCCAUACCUUAAACUUUUCUAAUCAAUUUAUUUUGCUUUCACAAAUUUCCUAAUCAAGACCCAACCAACCUUAGCUUAUGUAACCGUCAAAUAAUGCCCCAGUACGAUGCGGAUAACUUAUGUGGAUGCCCACGUAGUCAUGUAUGGAAAAAUUUAUCCAAUAUAGACAAUGUCAGAACGUGACAUGGAUAAAAUUUAGUUAAGGUGUAUGCCAAAGUAUAUGUCUAUAUUGGAAAAUUUUUGUUUACGUCACACAACAAUAUCAGUUGACAGUAAUGCCAGCUGGAUUUGGUCGAGUUUUGUGUUAGAGGGAUUUGAUUGGAAAAUUUAUGAAAUUUCAAAGAACUUGUUAGUAAAAUUACGGUAGAGAAAACGUGAAAGUAGAGGAUAAGAAGAAGACUGAUUUCGAAAAACCAACAGCUAAUCCACAGUCAGCAGAAGAAUGCCUUACCUGACAAGAUAAGUAGGUCUACUUUGUACCACGUGAGCAAUGAAUGGAAUGGUUACACUACAUCCUCACAAUUCCACUGGUAUCUGGGUCCAAUCUCAAGGACAUCAAAAGCCAUGAAAAGAUCACAACUGUGAACAUCUCUCUAUGAACUUGUCUCAUCAUAUGCGUCAAGAGGGAAUAAAAUCUUUAAGCCAAACUAGUAGUUGUGAGGAAAAUAUAAUCAGCAAUUAAUGUUGACACAUAAAUUUUGACUACCCAAUUAGUUAUUUAUCGCAUAGAAAAAUUAAAAAAUCGACCUCGUCCCCUAAAAAAAAUAUUAGUUAAAUUACAUAUAGAUAUUAGGAGCAUUUUUCAUUCAUUAAUAGUAAGUCCACAUAUAAUUACAUUUUGAUUGGACUGGUGCAAGGAGAUUUUGAGCGUAAUCGAGUUAAUUGGACUAAGCCCGUGGGAAUGAGAAAUUCAGCCUAAUCCAUUUAUUUCCUUUGCUCGACCAGACAUCAAAUAUGCAGCACAAGGACUUCAGCACGAAUGAAGCAGCAAAUAUUCGUUAUUGAGAAAUAUAUUCUGAACCUUUUUUUGGGAAAAUUAACUGACUAAUUCUUUUCAUUAUUAAAGAUGCACGUCAUGCUUAAAGUAGGCAAGUUAAUUUUUCUUAGUCAAAACUGGAAGUAAUUGAACACUAUUUGAAAGGAAAGAAACAAAAAUAGAAAAAGAAAAAGGAAGAAAACGGGGAAGAAAGAAAGAAAUUCACGGCCCGAGCAUGAUAGACCAGAGAAUAAUGUAUGCACUCACAAGAGGAAAGUGGAAUUCGGCCAGCCCAAAAGGAGUUCUCGCCAAGUAUAAAGAGAUAACACUGCAACACGUAAAAGAGGAGACAAAGGAGGGAGACAAAAUGUUCGAUAAAUUCACGUUCGCAAUUAACGAGAAGUGUGAGCAAUACAUAAAAGAGAACUCAAGUUUUUUCUGUGCCUCGAAAAGCUAGCCCCUACGCAGUAAGUGUGUCUAUGUUUUGACGUUACGAUUGGGAGAAAACAUGUGCGUUCAAUGACAUUGGAGAUUGAUUUACAUGUCUCAAAGUCAUUAGUUGGAAUUAAAAGUGGACUGUAAAUGCAUGUGAAGAUAUUCGAAAAGUACACUUGUAAUAGGUGGAGACGAUAUUUGGGGCACUCAUGAAAAAAAAUGGAUUGAACGGGCCAAAAUAUUUUAGAUAUUUAUAGCAUAAGUUUUGUCAUAUUGAUGCAUUUCGUUAAACAAUUUUUUUAAUCUUGAGGAGAAGCUUCUAUUGCAUUCAUUUAUAGUUUAAGAACUAUAGAUGGACGUAAAUGAUCAACGGCACAUUUUCUAGGGUCGCAUCUUCCACAUAUUUUCAAAUUUCCACACCUUUAAAAAUAUUUUGGAAAAUGAAUGAAAAAUAGGAGGGAAGUUAGGAAUUCAACAUGAAGCGUUAAAAACUAUUAACUUAAGGAGAGAGAUAAAAGUGACUUAAGCAGAGGGUAAAGACCGGAUAAAACAUGAUAUAGCGUAGAGAAAUCUGGUUUGAGAAAAUUAUGUCGGAAGAGAUUAAUUUUCAGAGUUACUUUCCCAGACGAAUCUCUUUUGAUAAAAGUAAUUCGUCCUGCAGGCAUUUGAAUAACGAAAUCCUAUAUACCACGCUUGAUAUGAUUUUGUCAUUGACUCAUGUACAUUGGCAGCGGGAGCAUGCGACUGUCGGUCGUUAGUUUUCUUUUUCUGUUCUGUUUACUAAUAGAAAAGGCAAGCCAAAUCAAGACAAUGCUGCAGGAUCUCAAAUCUGAAUGAACGCACCUGCAUGCACCUCCCUUGUAUGAAGCUGAGAAUCGGUGGAAAUCACAGCUGGAGCACGUGAGUAUUGCUCCUUAGCUUUCUUUUCCAUUUUCUUUCGUUAAUAUAAAAGUCUAUUUACUUUCAUUAAUAUGAACGGCAAGCCGUGCGGGAUCUCGACUUUUGACCAAAGCACCGGGAGCAAGUGAGUGUUGCACGUGAUUGCAUGUGCGCACGUGAGUAUUUAUUUUGGCUCUUUCGGUUCCGCGCUCCUUCCACUAAAUGCUGCGGAAACUAUGCAUGCAAAGAUUGUUCUUUCAGCGGCAUGCCUCGCAGUGGUUCGAUUAGCACGAAGAGUCUUGGACCGUUGGAUGGCAAGAACUCAGCAUUAUGUGAUUUGCACAAAUAGCCCCGGUCAAUCUUUCUAUGCUUCAACAAUUUUUUUCUAAAUAAUUUGACAACCCAUUCAUAUAUAUAUAUAUUUCCAGAUGCAGAGAAACCCUACCUACUUAGACAAAUUUCCAUUGUAUCAUUCUAAUAAUGGAAGUUUGGUUCAUUCACUCUGAAUAUUUUUCCUUCCAUGCAAGUAAAAGUCUAAGACCUUACUAAUUUCAUCAUUGCUACUUUGAACAAACGUUUCUCUUUUCUCUGGAUAAAUUUCUUUUGCCUCGAUUAUAUCCUGGAUUCCAACUAUUUUUUUUUUUUUUAAAGGAGGGAAUUAUCCAUGGAGGACGCACACUAAUUUGUAGAGGCACCAUUAGGAGAAAAGAAUAAACUUUAUGAUGUGAAAAAAAUUACAUUUUAUAUUCUUCCCUAAAUUUUAAUUUGUUUUCUCUUUGCUAUUUAAUCUUUAUUAUAUGUAUACUUGUUUAUUUCUUCCAUAACGAAACAUAUAGCUGCUAAUCUAUCAUCCUUGUGAGACACAAUGCCCACUAUUUUAUCACGUCUCAUUUUUUUUCAUCUGUAAUUUGAGGUAGUACAUUGUUAAGAGACGAAGGAAAACGAAAGGCCCAUGUGUACUCUACUAUCGGUAGAAUAUAUUUUCCACGCCCCGAUUUUACAAUCAAGACGUGCUGCACCCCAAUUUUCAAUCAAAGCACGUUGCAUAAGUAGGAUCCACACACCUUCCGCAUAAUGCUGCAGAAAUUAAUUAUUAUCGAACAACCUUUUCUUUCAUUUUAAGUCCUUAAAAUGGUCCAUAUUUGAAAUACAGUACUCGAAAUUUCGGUAAUUAUUUUUCAGUUUUUUCUAAACGGGCUCAUACUCGCAGCUGAUUUUUCACAAAUGAAUUUAAGUUCAGCAUCAGCAAAAAGACAAGUUGAGUCAAGUGGAAAGUUGAGUUAUAGCACCCAAGGUUUGACUUGAAAUUACCUAUGUAAUCAUUUACUUUAAGCCGUUAGAGUACAGUGUUGAAUAUAAUUUACAUCAUAGCAAUUUAUUUGGUUCGACUUCUAGCUUUUUGUUAACGACGAACACAAAUCAGAUACGUAAUUCACAGGUCAACAAAUUCUCCACUAAUGCAAAGUAUCAAGCUAGACACAAGUCUCAUAUACGAAACAGUUUAUGCUUGCAAAUAUGGCGGACCAAACACACGUUGUGUACCUAGUCUCCAUCUACUAAUUUUUACUUUCUAUUCCCUUGCGACUCUCAUAGUCAAACUUUUUUUUUUUUAUAACAAAGAUCACUUAAAAGAUUCAAAAUAUGCAAAUACUAUCACGUAGAUAAUUAUAUAAUUAUAUUUUUAAUUUAACUUAAAGAAUAUACAUAUUUUAAAUCUUUCAAAUGUAAAAAAUCAAUUAUACUUUUAAGUGCAGUCUAAAUUUUUAUCGAAGGGUUGCAUACCAAAAUUAUCUUUUAUUUUGAAAGAAGUAAAGCACCUCAUUAGUCAUUAGAGAAAAAGGCCAAAGCAUGGAGCCACCUCAGCUAGCGCUGUCGGGGACCCGUCUCCUUUUUCAAAAGCCAAAAGAAAUUGCCCCGAACGUCAAACCCGCCCACUCGCCUCGGUCAGGGAGAGCACGGAAACUCGCUCGGACCGCGCGCCACGUGAGCUCGAGGGGGGCAAUUCGGUACAUUCCGAGUGGCCGAAGAUAUCCUCGAGAUGCGAGGUGGGGACCACACAUUGGCUUUGGUUUCUGAGCAGCUGACCGGCGUAGCGGUCGAGCAACGCGAACACGGAGAGGAGGAGCGGCGUGGGUCCGCGUGAAGAGACAACCUAAGCAGAAUCUUUUUUUUUGGUCGAAGCCUAAGCAGAAUCCACACGGCAAAUUUCUACUCUGUUUUCGUGGAUAAAAGGGUCUCGAACAGUUGGACGGCAAUAACUCAGCAUCGUUCGAGCAAGCGCGGGAGAGAGUGUUAAGCGUAGUUAAUCCGAGGUUGAAGGCUGAGAACCGGCAGAGUUCACAGCAGUAGGUGAAUUGUGUUGUUUGAGCACUCUUCAGGUAAUCGAUUGCUCCAUUUUCUUUUGAUGAGUUUCGAUUUGAGUUCUUGGAGACAUUUUUGCAUUCCGAGAUUUGGACUGUGAAAUCUAGACUUUUUUUCUUCAAGGCUCUGCUCGAUCGAUGUCCUAUUUGGUCAAUUAGACUUCAUUUCUGUUUGAAUUUAGCUACGAAAUGAGCUCUGACAGACAUUUCGGCAAUUCCCGAAUCCGGGAUUCCGUAUUUCUCUUUGUUUUCUGCUUUUCUUCGAGGCUCUGCUCCAUCGAUCUCUUCCAUUCCCUUUAUAGGUGAUUACAAAGGCGGAGCCUAAAAGAUUCGAUAUGUGGGGACAUUCAGAAGAUCCGAAUUGUGGGGCUUCUUCCUCAUCGACUUCACCGCAUGUAGGUGAUUAUGAAGGCAGAACCAAAAAGAUGAAAAGAAAUGACUACGAAGUGUUCUUGAGCUUUAGAGGGAAGGAUACUCGUAAUGGCUUCACCGAUUAUCUAUAUACUAGUCUUGUUGAUGCAGGAAUUCAUGUGUUCAGAGAUGACAAUGAGCUUUGUGUUGGUGAGGAGAUUGGACCGGAACUUUUCCGCAGUAUUACACAAUCUAAGAUCUCCAUCCCGAUUAUCUCAGAGGACUAUGCAUCCAGCAAAUGGUGCCUUCGCGAGUUGGCUCUUAUGUUGAAUUGCAAGAGAAACAAAGGGCAAAUGGUGUUACCCAUAUUUUACAAAGUGGAACCUUGGCAAGUGAAGCAUCUCACAGGGAGAUUUGGAGAUGCUAUCAAUACACAUAAAAAGAAUUUGGAAGAAAAGAUUGUGAAGGAAUGGGAAGAAGCACUCAAAGAAGUCACUUCCUUGAAAGGAUUGGAAUCGGAGAAAAUUGAUAAUGGGUACAUUAUUCUCCACCACAACAUUGUUUACUUUCUCAUAACUAGAUCUUACUUGAAAAAUAAUACAAAUAUUUCCAUCAUAUAUUGAAAUUUUUAUUGUUGUUCGACAGGCGUGAAGGAACAUUGGUUAAAAUAGUUGUCAGAAAAGUUAUGAGUAACUUAAAGGAAUUGUUUUUGCUAAAUGUUCCCAAACAGUUGGUGGGAAUUGAUGAUCGUGUGGAGCGUAUUAUGCACUUCAUAAAUGCUAAAUUUAGUGAUACAAGUAUUAUCGGAAUCUAUGGAAUGGGCGGCAUCGGUAAGACAACCCUUGCGAAGGUGUUGUACAACAAGCUUUUGAGUCAUUAUGAGUCUCAUAGCUUUGUGGCAGAUAUUCGAGAAAAAUUUAAGCUCAAGGGUCUUGAAUGCAUACAAAAGCAGCUCAUUUAUGACAUUAGUGGAGGCUUAUGUGAUGUGUCUAAUGUCGAUCACGGAAUCAAUAUCCUUAAAUCUCGAUGUAUAAAUAAGAAAGUUCUCAUUCUUCUUGAUGACAUGGAUGAUAAUACUCCCUUGAAUGCUUUGGUUGAAGACGGUAGUUGGUUUAAAGCUGGAAGUACGGUCAUCAUCACCACUAGAGACAAGAGUAUUCUUGACAAGGUUGGGGUAAGAUACAAGUAUCAACUCAAUGAGUUGCUUUCAUAUCAAUCAUUGGUUUUAUUUAGCAGACAUGCAUUUCGAACGGAUUCUCCUCCGAGUGAUUAUUGGGUUAUCUCUCGUGAUAUCGUAUCUACUACUGGGGGGCUUCCUUUAGCUCUUGAAGUUAUUGGUUCAUUCUUAUGUGGAAAGACAAAAGAAGCAUGGAAAGCUACAUCAAAAAAAUUAGAGAAAGUGCCUAAUAAGAAAGUGCAAGAGAAGUUGAGAAUAAGUUACGACGCAUUAGAUUUUGAGGACCAGCAGAUUUUUUUGGAUAUUGCAUGUUUUUUUGUCGGAUCAUCUAUACAAAAUCCGACUUACAUGUGGGAUGCCUGUGGUUUUUUCCCGGGAAAGGGGAUUGAAGUAUUGAAUCUUAUGUCCCUAAUUAAAAUUACUGAUGAUGGCGAGCUAAUGAUGCAUGAUCAGCUGAGAGAUCUUGGAAGGGAAAUUGUUCGUCAAGAAAAUCUAAAGAAGCCUCAAAAGCGUAGCAGAUUGUGGGAAUAUGAGGAUGGCGUAGAUGUGCUUCUCAGCAACAAGGUAAGAGUUUUUCUCCGCUUGUCUUAAUCAUCGAAUGUGAGCACAUCUUCUCUUUCUUGUUUAAGAUAAUAAUUAUAGUCAAUCACGAGUCCCCAAAACUGGCUGCGUCUACUGGCAAGAGGGCACUUUUAAUUAAUUGCUCUUCUUGUCGGACUUUAGGACAAAAUUGAAGAGCAAUUUCUUGGUUAUUAAUAACUAAUAUUUUUAACUAGUAAGAUUGUGAUGAGGAUACUCUCCUUUUGCUAGCUUCAAUAAAAAAACAAAGCUACAAAUUAAUGUUCGAUAGAGCACUUUUAAAGAAAAUCGAAUAUCUAUAAAUUGUUGGGGCCAUGCUUUCCCACAUUUUUGUUUGGUGCACAGGUUGAUGUUUGAAUUCUUAUAUUGAUUUCUUUUGAGGUAUUUUCUUUCUUUUUUCUUUUAACGAGUACCGACUUCUUAAGAGUUUGCUACGAUGAAUGAGACCAUUCAUUAGUGAUGAUUAGCUAUCCCGAUUCUUGAAUUUUUCAAGUUGGGUAAAGUAUAGAUUUAGUCCCUCAAGUAAUACUAUUUGUAAGAUUUAAUCCCCUUUCUAUUUUUUGCUCAAUACCAUUCUCCAUCUUUCACAGUUUGUGCGAUCAAGUCCUUUGUAGUCAACCGUUAAUGAACAUGGUCAAUUUGUUGAUGUGACUUUCAUAUACUAUAAAUAAUAUGGUUAUAAUUAAUAUAAAUCCUAGUUAUAAUUAGAAAUCUAACAUUAAUAGAGUGACUUGGAAAAAAAGACAUGAAUUUUGGGAAUAACUAUUACUACAAGUAAAUAUUGUAAUAGACUAUAAUAGCCAUUACGGUAAUGAAACGUGCUCUAAUAAUCUAAAUGCAUGUAAUAAUACAUUGCUACAUAAUGUGUAUGUAACUAAGGGUUAGUAAAUGUGUACAACUAAACGGUAUAUAUUAUGCGGUAAGAUAUUUAGUUCAAAGUAAGACGUUAGGAAAAAAAAAGUAGAAAUUUUCCAAUAAACGGUAUAUAUUAUGUAUUCCCAAAAAAAUAUAUAUUAAUAAAGAUAUGUUCUCAAUACCAUAAUUAUAAAAAUUUUAAUGUUGAAGUAUUAUCUAAACUAAAUUUUUUGACAUGAUACUUGUUAAACUUGGAAGUUAAAUAUUUCAACCAUACAUACAUGACCUUUUUCUUUAUAUAGAGGAUGAGUGAUGAAGUGACUUUUCAGUUACAACAUUUUUAAAUAUUUAUAGAAGAAUGAUAAUUAAUAAUAAAACUAAACAAUUUCACAACUGUAUGUUGGCACAGAAGUGAUAUUAACAUAAUAUAAUUAUUCUUCAUGUCCAAUCUAUCUCUUAGCAAGAUCUUAUUAAUUUAUGGGCAAAAUUGAUCAUAAAAUUAGAUGACUGUUAUUUCUUUGUAACAAAAUCAACAUGAAAUGAAAAGUUAGCAUCAAACAUAUAUAGUAAUAAAAAGAGAAGUGAAAAUCAUGCAUAUAACUUGUUGAGGAAACACAUGAUAAGAAAGGAAUGCAAAACAUCUGUGUACUUCUUGGGAUGGAAUUCUCAUUUUCAUUUUGCUAUCGAGAAUUGUAAACAAGGUACGAAAGAAAAAGAGGGGAAUUCUACAAUUGAGAUUCUUUAGUAUUGAUACAUGCUUUGACGGUAAAUUUGAUAUAUGCAUUUGAAGUUUUGAACUGUAAGAGACAUGUUGUUUCACAUAUAAAGGAUAUGAGUUAGUUUGUUAUUUCCCAUAUAAAGGGCAUGGAAUUUUGAAGUGAUGUUUGCAUGAAAAGAGGCCUUCUAUAUUAAUUUUGAAAGGAUGGGACUUUGGGGAAUUUAAAAGCUGCAAAUUGUGAAGGGAAUAAUUGGAAGAGGAAAAGUUUGGGAAGACCCUCUUGAGGUUCACAUUUUUACAUUGAUUACCACAACCUGUCAUGUCAUGAAGUCGAAAGUGAGAAGCUUAAAUCAUGAUAGUACGACAACAAAUUUGAAAUCAAUACAUUUUUUCUCAUAUAUAGUUGCUUUCAACCCAUUAUUCAAAACAACAAUUUACAAUGUUGCCUAAUUGCAGGGCACUAGUAAAAUUGAGGCCCUUCGUCUUGACUUAGAUAAUGGGAAAGGAAGUUACAUGGCUGAAACAUUUAAAGAAUUGACCAAAUUGAGGAUACUUCAACUGGAAGGUGUGAAUCUCACUGGACAUUUUCAGAACUUGUUUCCUCAACUAAGAUUGCUUGAGUGGAUGGAUCAUCAACCGGAUUUUGAAUUGACCAACUUUCACCUGAAGAAAUUAGUCGUGCUCGAUUUGUCGUGGAGCAAGAUUUCAGAGAACUGGGGAGGAUGGAGUCAACUAAAGGUAAAAUGUAAAGAAGGCAUAUGUCUUAUAAAUAAUCACGUGUUGUCGAUGGACCCAAUUGCACCAAGUUAUACUUAAUUUCUUCUGAAAAUAUAUAUUAUGGAUUUUCUUCUAAGCAUAAGAGGAAUUCAUAGGCACCUAAAUAUGUCAAAAGCUUCUACCCCUUAAUAUUUUAGCAAACUAGUCAUGCUUAACAUCAGACCUACUAAUAAAAACUUUUUAAAUCGUAUUAAUUAACAUCUAUCAAAAAUAUAAUUACAAUAAUGUGCCCAUGUUAAUUUUAAUCUAAAUGGUUUAUGGCUUCUAGUUAAUUUCUCCCCAUGCAAAAGUAUGUAUUUUUAGCAAUUCUUGUUAUAUGUAUGUAUGUAUCUUCUUUCAUAAAAAUGCAAAGACCCUCACAGUGACUUGUGUUUUACAUACAUACUAAAAUUCUAAAUUCAUUGUUACUUUUAAAGUAAUGGAAAUAAUUUGUGAACUACUUUGACUUGUUGCGCACAAUAAUUAUUCAUUAUUAUUGUUGAUUGUUGAAGUCACCGUAUAACACAUUUAUAAAGUACUAAUGUCAUAUGAGUAAUACAACACUUUUUUAUGUCUCGUACAUAUAGCAUUUAAAAAUUGUUUUUCAUAAUUAAAGUAGCCAUUUCUCUUUAAUUUCAUACUAAUUGAAGGAAAACAUGGCACCAAAUGAAUGCAUCUCAUUUCUUCCAUUUGACUUUGUCAUAUGUAAUUUGAUAAUAAAAUUUGUGUAUCUCUAUUCAAUAAAUAACAACAUAGUCAUAACUUUGAAAAACUAAACAUGACAUUUUCUAAGAAAUUUUAUUUGCGAAAAAUUGUAGAUAGCACUCAUACAUCCCUAACAUUCUCUUUGCAAUGAUAUGCUUAAAAACAUUUAUAUGCUAGCUUGGCGAAUACACUAUUGAAAAGAAACAUUUAAAAUUAAAUUAAAUAGCUGUGUAAAAAUAGGGAGAAUGGGAUUAUUUUUUUUGUCCAAUCUCAAAGUGGUAACCUCUUUCUUUCAGAUAGCAACCGAGCUCAAGGUUCUCAACCUUACGAAUUGUGCUUUAAGAACAACUCCCGACUUGUCCGCUUUCAAGAGUUUGGAGAUUUUGAUACUUGAAGCUUGUGAGGAUCUAGAAGAGAUUCAUCCUUCUAUCGAGGACAUCGAGACCCUUGUCUCCUUGAAUGUCAGUAAUUGUUGGGAGCUGAAGAAGCUACCACUAGGAGUAGGUAGAAUGGAAAAUUUGAGCAAGCUUCUCAUAGAUAACACUAAUAUACGAGAGAUUCCUAUUUCAAGAGGUUGUUUGACAAAGCUGGAGACUCUACAUGCCUCAGAUUGUAGACGGCUUGCUCAACUUCCAGAAUCCUGGGGCUCCCUUAUGUCAUUAACUCAACUAGACCUAAAAAGAACAGAAAUUGAGGAAUUACCCGAAUCCAUUGGAUCAUUAAAGAAGCUCAAGACUCUAAAUACCUCUUAUUGUGCAUUGUUA
rnacentral:lncRNA from 1 species